GUUUUUUUUGGUGGUCGACUGGUUGACUCUUUCUUGAUAGAACUGGUGGGGGCACGCUGAGUGCACCCACUGGGUGUAGUCCCCGAGACUUCGGUUGAAUGUUUGAAUUCGGCUGAAGUCUUAGAAACGUGUGAUUUUUCCUCAGUCACUCGGAAGUGAAUUAUCUUUGACAUUUUGUCGAUUGGUUCCUCGUAGAAAUCCCGCGACCUGGUGGCUCGUUACACGGAGUUGGAGAACAAACAUAUCCAACUUGAGCUUGAUCUGAAGCUGGUCCAGGAGAACUUGGCGAAGGCAAAGGAGGAGAGCAAAGGUAUGUUUGGUGAGGACUCGACGACUGUUUUUGCCCCUUAUUUGUUUCAAAAUCUGACCUUGUUGUAACUUUGCAGGCAAAGUGAAGGAGGCCCAGAAGAAGAAAGAUCUUGAGCUAGCUAAGAUGCAGAAGAUAGCCUUAGAGAAGACCAAGCUCGCGGACGAGAAGUUGGCUUCGGUCACCAGGCUUGAAGAAGAAAACACCAAUCUAAAAGCUGAUCUUGAUAUUGCCAACAAAGAAGUGAGUCGACUGAAAAGCGACAAGAUUGCCCUGAAUGACAAAGCCAGUGAACUGGUUCGGAAGAAGAAAGAUCUGGAGGCUUAUCUGGGUGGACUCGCCAAGAAGCUGUUCCUCAUGCUCGAAGGUAAACCUUUGCAUUAAGCAAGUAUUUUUACAGUGUUCUUUCCAUUCGACUGUUGUCUUGACUCGGUGGUUGUGCUUGCAGAAUUUUGCCAAAACUUUGAAGAGGAGACCAGUCGACUAGAACCAAACCUGGACCCCAUCAACUCUCCGGUGAAUGAUGAAGUCGCCAUGAAUGUGUUCCGGCUCGAGUCUCAUGUUGCUGCUGUCACUGACUAUCUCGCAAGGCUGAAGGUCGUCACUUCCCGCAUUGACACUACGCUCUGGCCCAGGGAGACGCUCCAGAACGACCUCGAGUCUCUGAUGGCUCGACUAAACAUAGUUCCUGGUCGAGUGCAGGAGUGGAAAAAGUCCUCUGCUAGGUGUGGUGCAGAUGUUGCUCUGUGUCUGGCUCGAGUCCAUUGCAAGGAUGCACGAGAAGACAAGCUGGCGGCCCUUCGGGUGGCCAACACCAAGAAACACGACUUCCGGUCCUUCAUGGAGACCUUCAUCGCCACUGCCACUCGGAUUGCUGACGGAAUCGACCUCGAUGAAUUUGUCGCACCUUCCAGCCCUCCACAGGAGGGGUAAAAAACUUCUUGAGCUCAACACUUUAAAUUUGCCUCGGUAUGCCGAGUGAUUUUGUAACCGAUAAACCUUAACAGGCUUAGCGCCUGAGCACUUUCGGUUCCGUUAGGUUUUUAUCUGAACUUGGAUUCGACGUUUUGAAUGUGCUUGCCUUUGGUCUGAAAUGUCUUUUGCAGGUUUAAAACGAGAUGCUUACUGCAGUCGACUUAUUCUUCAAAUCACUUAGGCAGGCACUGGGCUGCGGCUAAGCCUCCAAGUGGGAAACAUGCUCUCCACUCGGUAGGAUUUUCAAAAACUUAGGCGAGCACUGGGCUGCAGCUAAGCCUCCGAGUGGGAGGUCUGCCCUCCACUCGGUAGGAUUUUUUAUAACUUAGGCGAGCACUGGGCUGCAGCUAAGCCCCCGAGUGGGAGGUUUGCUCCUCACUCGGUAGGAUUUUUUAUAACUUAGGCUAGCACUGGGCUGCAGCUAAGCCCUCGAGUGGGAGGUUUUCUCCUCACUCGGUAGGAUUUUUUAUAACUUAGGCGAGUACUGGGCUGCAACUAAGCCCCCGAGUGGGAGGUUUGCUCCUCACUCGGUAGGAUUUUUAUAACUUAGGCGAGCACUGUGCUGCAGCUAAGCCUCCGAGUGGGAGGUUUGCUCCUCACUCGGUAGGAUUUUCACAUUGUACUUGUGGCGUAGCUUGAAGGAGAGGGUCGCAGUCGACCUGUACCUCGUCCUCCUUGCGACCGCACAUUGUACUUGUGGCGUAGCUCAGAGGAGAGGGUCGCAGUCAACCUGCACCUCGUCCUCCUUGCGAGCGCACGUUGUAUUUGUGGCGUAGCUCAGAGGAGAGGGUCGCAGUCGACCUGCACCUCGUCCUCCUUGCGACCGCACAUUGUACUUGUGGCGUAGCUCAGAGGAGAGGGUCGCAGUCGACCUGCACCUCGUCCUCCUUGCGAGCGCAUGUUGUAUUUGAACUUAGGCGAGUACUUAGACUGCAGCUAAGCCUCCGAGUGGGAGUUUGGCUCUCCACUCGGUAGGAUUUUAUUCAAACUUAGGCGAGUACUUGGACUGUAGCUAAGCCUCCGAGUGGAAUUCUGGCUCACCACUCGGUAGGAUUUUAUUCAAACUUAGGCGAAACGGAUUCGCAGCUAAGCCCCCGAGUGAGAGUCUGGCCCGUCACUCGGUAAGGAUUUUUUACAAACUUAGGCGAAACGGAUUCGCAACUAAGUCACCCACUGAGGGGGAAAUUUUACUGAACAAAUAAAAGUGACAAAAAUCAUCGGGGAAAUUAUGACACUAUUAUCUUGCAAGCCGUGAACUACAGAAGUAUUUUUAUUACAACUCAUCCGAGUGAAAACUUAAGUGUAAAAUGGGCGGAGUAGCUCCGCGUUCCAAGCUCGGGGCUCGUCGAUAUUAUGCUUGACGUUGUAGAGACGGUACGCUCCGUUGUGGAGAACCUUGGUGACGAUGAAGGGUCCUUCCCAAGAAGGAGCAAGCUUGUGUUGUUUCUGCUGGUCCACUCGAACAACCAAAUCUCCUUCCUGGAAGGCUCGACUCUUCACGUUUCUGGCAUGGAAGCGACGCAAGUCCUGUUGAUAGAUGGUCGAUCGGAUCAGAGCCAUCUCUCUUUCCUCCUCUAAAAGGUCGACUGUGUCCUGCCGCGCUUGUUCCGCUUCAGCUUCGUUGUAGAGCUCAACUCGAGGAGCAUUGUGGAGCAGAUCACUCGGCAAGACCGCUUCAGCUCCAUAGACCAAGAAGAAUGGAGUUCUUCCGGUCGACCGAUUAGGUGUGGUCCUCAGACCCCAAAGCACCGAGGGAAGUUCAUCGACCCAUGCUCCAGCCGCAUGCUUAAGGUCACGCAUCAGUCGGGGUUUCAACCCUUUGAGGAUCAAGCCAUUGGCUCGUUCCGCCUGCCCAUUCGACUGCGGAUGGGCGACCAAAGCGUAGUCGACUCGUGUGCCUUGAGAAGUGCAGAAAUCCCUGAAUUCCUCCGAGUCGAAGUUUGACCCAUUUUCUGUGAUGAUGCUAUGCGGGACUCCAUAUCUGAAUGUCAGUUCUCUGAUGAAGCUAACAGCAGUACCGGCGUCAAGGUUCUUGAUAGGUUUAGCCUCAAUCCACUUGGUGAACUUGUCAACUGCCACUAGCACAUGCGUGAAACCGCUUCGACCUGUCCUCAAGGGACCCACCAUAUCCAAUCCCCAUACUGCGAAGGGCCAGACGAGUGGUAUAGUCUUCAGAGCUGACGCAGGCUUGUGUGACAUGUUGGAGUAAAAUUGGCAUCCUUCGCACUUGUCCACUAUUUCCUUUGCCAUCUCGUUUGCUCUUGGCCAGUAAAAUCCGGCUCGGUAUGCUUUGGCCACGAUGGUCCGAGAGGACGCAUGAUGGCCACAGGUCCCCGAGUGGAUAUCAUCAAGGAUGAUUCGACCUUCCUCUGGCGUUAUACACUUCUGACCAACUCCAGUCGCGCUCUCCCUGUACAGCUGUCCUUUGAUCACGGUAAAGGCCUUGGAUCGACGGACGAUCUGUCGAGCCUCUUCCUCGUCCUCCGGGAGCCCUUUUCUUAGGAUAUACGCGAUGUAAGGAACUGUCCAGUCGGGAGUGAUCACUAAAACCUCCAUGACCAAGUCGAACACUGCUAGGACUUCUACUUCAGUCGGAUCUGUGGCACUCUUGGGUCGCGGAGCUUCUUCGAUGAAAGGAUCUUCUUUGACUGAUGGGGUAUGGAUAUUCUCCAAGAACACACCACUCGAAAUGGCUUCUCUCUUGGAACCUAUCUUUGCCAGAUCAUCAGCCGCUUGAUUCUUCGGUCGGGGUAUAUGAUGGAGCUCUAACCCCUCAAACUUCUUUUCCAGAUUCCUCACUGCAUUGCAGUAUCCAGUCAUGGCUGGGCUUCUCACGUCCCACUCCUUCAUCACUUGGUUGACCACCAAAUCUAAGUCUCCAUAGAUCAUAAGGCGACGGACGCCGAGUGAAAUGGCCAUGCGCAACCCAUACAAAAGGGCCUCAUACUCUGCCUCAUUGUUGGAGGAAUCAAAGUGAAUCUGGAGCACAUAUCUGAGCUUAUCUCCUCUGGGGGAAACCAAGACAACCCCAGCACCGGAACCAUUCAACAUCUUAGAGCCAUCAAAAAACAUGGUCCAAUGCUCCGAGUGAACUUGAGCUGGCUGCUGUUGUUCAAUCCACUCGGCUAGGAAAUCUGCUAUUGCUUGGGACUUAAUGGUUUUCUUUGCCUCAAACUUGAUAUCAAGGGGAAGAAGUUCAAUCGCCCAUUUCGCCACUCGACCAGUCGCAUCUCUGUUGUGAAAAAUCUCUGAAAGUGGAGCGUCACUGACGACUGUGAUGGAAUGAUCAGAGAAAUAAUGAGCAACCUUCUUCGUGGUCAUGUAAAUCCCAUACACAAGCUUCUGAUAAUGAGGGUAUCUUUGCUUGGAUGGAGUCAAAACUUCAGACAGAUAAUACACUGGGCGCUGAACUUUGAAGGCUUUCCCUUCUUCUUCCCGCUCGACCGUAAGUACUGUACUAACGACUUGUCCUGUGGCUGCGAUAUAAAGAAACAGAGGCUCUUUGCUGAUUGGAGCAGCAAGCACCGGCUGGGUGGAGAUCAGAGCUUUUAGCUCGGCAAACGAUGCAUCAGCUUCUGGAGUCCACUCGAACUUGUCUGCCUUCUUCAUCAGUCGGUAAAGAGGCAGUGCCUUUUCACCGAGUCGUGAGAUGAAUCGACUUAAUGCGGCCAAGCAUCCAGUAAGCUUCUGGACAUCGUGCACCCGCACAGGGCGUUUCAUUCGGAGUAUAGUGCCAAUUUUUUCUGGGUUAGCGUCGAUUCCUCGUUCGGAAACGAGAAAACCGAGUAACUUUCCACCAGGAACUCCGAACGUGCACUUUGAUGGAUUGAGCUUGAUAUCAUACCUUCUGAGGUUGGCAAAUGUUUCGGCAAGGUCAGUCAGCAGGUCGGAACCCUUUCGCGACUUGACCAUGAUAUCAUCCAUAUACGCUUCCACAUUCCGACUGAUUUGAGUGAGCAAACACUUCUGAAUCAUUCGCAUGAACGUGGCUCCGGCAUUCUUGAGGCCGAAUGGCAUGGUGAUAUAGCAGAAGCACCCGAAUGGAGUGAUGAAAGCUGUUUUUAUCUCAUCGGGUCCAUACAGACGGAUCUAAUGGUACCAGGAAUAGGCGUCUAGAAAAGACAGUCUCUCGCAUCCCGCGGUCGAGUCAACAAUUUGAUCGAUGCGAGGGAGAGGAAAAUGAUCUUUCGGGCAGGCCCGAUUGAUGUGCUUGAAAUCGAUGCACAUUCGGAGUGAGUUGUCCUUCUUAGGAACCAUGACGACAUUGGCGAGCCACUCGGAGUGGUAUAUCUCUCGGAUAAAUCCUGCAGCCAAUAGUCGAGCCACUUCCUCACCAAUAGCUUUUCUCUUCUGGAUGGCGGACCGCCGCAGAUGUUCUUUGACCGGCUUCGCAGUUGAAUCGACUCUAAGGCGAUGCUCAGCCAGUCCCCUGGGCACACCCGGCAUGUCAGUUGGCUUCCAUGCAAAGAUGUCCCAGUUCUCACGGAGGAACUGAAUGAGCGCUUCUUCCUAUUUCGGGUCGAGUGUUGUGGAGAUAUGGGUUGGAGCUGCAUUGGGGUCGGCCGGGUGAAUGUGGACGGGCUUCGUCUCACGGGACGAUUGAAAUGCUGACUCCGUGGCUGGCUUCUUGGCUCGCAGCAAAUCACUCGGAUCUGCAUUCUGCUUAUAUUCUUCAAACUCGACCGCUGUCACCUGGGAAUCGGCAAUCUUUGAGCCUUUCUGGAAACACUCUUCUGCCUUUUUUCAAUCACCAGUGAUAGUGAUCACUCCUUUGGGGCCGGGCAUCUUCAGUUUGAGGUACACAUAACAUGGUCGCGCCAUGAAUCGUGCGUAAGCUGGCCUCCACAAAAUAGCGUGGUAAGCGCUCUGAAAAUCCACGACCUCAAACGUCAGCUUCUCUUUAUGAAAAUGCUUCGAAUCACCGAACACCACGUCCAGAGCUAUUUGGCCGAGUGACUCGGCUUUCUUUCCUGGUAUGACUCCGUGAAAACUCAUGUUACUGGUGCUCAGUCGGGACAUCGGAAUGCCCAUUCCUUUAAGCGUGUCCGCAUACAAUAAGUUCAGUCCGCUACCACCGUCCAUCGGCACCUUCGUGAGUCGAGUGCCUUCGACCACCGGGUCGACCACCAAAGCUUGCCUCCCGGGGGUGGCUAUAUGAGUCGGGUAAUCAGACUGGUCGAAUGUAAUGGGAGUUUGGGACCAUCUCAGAUAACUUGGUUUCGCCGGGGCGACCAUGUUCACCUCACGGUUAAUAACCUUCAGUCGGCUCUUGCUUUCCACAUCCGCAAAAAUCAUCAGAGUGGAGUUAACAUGAGGAUAUCCUCCCUCACUGUCCUCCUUGUCUUCGGCUUUGUCCGACUCCUUUUCUUUGUCCUUGGACUGUUUUCCUUGGAACUGCUGGAUCAGGAGUCGACACUGGCGAGUGGUAUGCUUCGGGUAGAUGAUAUUACCCUCUUCGUCUUUCUUCGUGUGGAUGUGACACGGCAUAUCCAUCACGUCAUUUCCUUCUUUAUCCUUCACCUUCUUGGGGUUCCAGGAUCCUUUGGGUUUCCCUUUGAACUUGCCCUGAGUCACGGCCAGAGCCUCUCCAGGAGCUGCUGGUUCGGCCUUCCGCUUCUGCUUCCGACUGGUGUUUCCCUUCUCCAACUGACUAGGCUUGUACUUGCCGCUUCGGAGUCGGUCUUCCUCUUCGCCGUUGGCAUACUUGGUGGCAAUCUCCAUCAUUCGACUCAGGAUCAUGUCUCCGGUCCGACCAAACUUCAAACUCAAUUCUCUGUUCUUAACACCGUCCUUGAAGGCGUAGACUGCCUGAUGAUCAAACACAUUCUCCACGGUAUGAUGCAAAGUGAUCCAUCUCUGAAUAUACUCUCUUAGAGUCUCAUUCGUCUUCUGCACACAAACUUGCAGCUCUGUCAAUCCAGCUGGUCGCUUGCAAGUUCCCUCAAAUGUUCUGACGAACACUCGGGAAAGAUCUUCCCAAGUGUAAAUGCUGCUUGGAGGUAACUGAUUCAACCAUGCUCUGGCAGAACCUUCCAACAUGAGUGGCAAAUGCUUCAUGGCCACUUCGUCAUUCCCGCCGCCAAUCUGUACCGCCACUCGGUAGUUUUCAAGCCAGGUUUCAGGCUUAGACUCACCGGUGAACUUGCUCACUCUAGUUGCCAACCUGAAGUUGGGGGAAUCACCGCGGCUCUGAUAGCCCUGCUGAAACAUUCCGGACCAGAAACAUGCACUCGACUGCUAGUGGGAGCAUCUCUGUUAGGGCCACCUCGAUGAGCUCUGUUCCGAUCGACCAAGCCUUGCACGAUGAUGGAUCGCACGUCAAAGCCUGGUUCCCUGGGGUCGACCGGAGCUCUUCGCCCCACACUGAGUUGACGCCUGUCAUCCUGCUGCCGAGGAGCGUAAGACCCACCUCUCGGAGGGGGAGUGGGCACUCGACGCCUAUCAUCACGAUCAUGUCGGUCACCAUACUGGUCUCGCCGAUUCUUGCGUCCUUCACGCCGCGGAGGCGAUCUGGGACUGUGAGCCGACUGAACCGUAUUCGCAGAGACGGAUCGACUGUGAAUUCUGUUGCGUGACUGCGACACGGCUGAAUUCUGAUCUCCUGCUACCCGAAGCAAAUCCCUGAUCUGCAUCAAGCCUCUGCCAGCCUCCGACUGAGAGGGCUGGAUGGACUCUGCGAUACGGGUUGCAGCUGCUAAAUUCUGAAUCGGGGUUCGAUAUACCUGAGUCGGCGGGAAGAGUUGACGUUGAUUGGAGUCGGGUACUCGUUGCCGCGUGCGCUCGUCGAGUGCUCGCUGAAAGUUCUCCAGUCGAGCGCGUUCAGCCAAGUUGGCCAAACAUGCUUCCUCCAAGGCGCGAGCCUCGGGGGUUUCUCCCGCGAUGGGAGUAUGCAGGGCAUCCAUGUUCCUGCGGCGAAGUUCUUCCCUCUGCAGGGAAUUAAGUGGCUCGGGCUGGUACUCUUCAUGGACUUGAGCGGGGUCGCCUCCACCGUCUACCCCGUCCUCGCGAGGGAAACCGGGAGGGCUGCGAGGCCCGUUAACCAUCAAGACCUCUGCCGCUGGAUCACUGCUAUCACACUCGGAUGCAGUCUCUAUGGAGCCAGUCGACAGAUCGAACAGGCCGUAGAGAGAUUCGUCGGGCUCGAUUGCCGCAACUUGGGUGGUGGCCGUCUGGCGAGCCAUCGCGUGCCUCACCCACCGCUGGAGCCUCGACCGACCAGAGCGCUUGCGCUGGUAGGAGACUGGGAGGGUGACCGAUAGGGGAGUCGACCGAUAUGGAGUCGACGGUUGCCGCAGCAGAACACCGCGGACACAUGCGCGAAAAUGCGUCGCACCGCAGACGGGGAGCGCAUCAACGUCGAGUGGAGCCUCCUGGAGCCAAGCGGAGUCGUCGGCGAUGAAGGUGAGAGCGCCGAGACAGAUCUCGCGGCCCUCGACCAAAACUCCACCAGCAACCAUGCUGAUAGUACUCGGAAGAAUCGCAACUUCUCCAAAAAUCGCUAAGACACCUGCCCCACGGUGGGCGCCAACUGUCGUGGUUCUAAGUCUGACAGUAGAGUGGGGGUAGGUAUGGAGAGGCAAGGUCCUAGCUAUGGAGCAGUUGUAAACACAAGGGAUGUACGAGUUCAGGCCCUUCUCGGAGGAAGUAACAGCCCUACGUCUCGGAGCCCGGAGGCGGUCGACUGGAUUAUGUGGGUAUGGAUUACAGGGGUGCGAACCCUUUACACUGAGGAGGGGGUGGCUUAUAUAGUGCCUGCCAGACCCCUCCGGCCCUCAGUAAUGCGGGGUUUAAAGUACAUUAAGUCUAGGUGUUACUGGUAACGCCUCACAUAAAGUGUCCUAAAUGCCAUAAAGUCUACUUAAUUACAGACCAUUGCGAUGCAGAGUGUCUCUUGUCCUUCUGGUGGUCGAGUGAGUCUUCAUGGUUGAGUCCUUCGAGUCCGUCGAGUGAAGUCUCUCUUGGUCCACUGGAGGGUAGUCUCUUCUGAGGGUGUCCUUGGGUAGGGUACUUAGAUCAGGUCUAUGACCCUACCCUAGGUACAUGACUUCAUCACGUAGUACUUGGUUUUUGAUGACUUCUAAAUUUUUGCAAUAAGUAUAUGAGUUCUUUUGAGUAAUGUUGAGUCCAUGGAUUAUACGCACUUUUACCUUUCCACCUUUGCUAGCCUCUUCGGUAUCGUGCAUUGCCCUUUCUCACCUUGAGAGUUGGUGCAAACUUUGCCGGUGCAUCCAAACCCCGUGAUACGAUACGCUCUAUCACACAUAAACCUCCCUAUAUCUUCCUCAAAACAGCCACCAUACCUACCUAUUAUGGCAUUUCCAUAGCCAUUCCGAGAUAUAUUGCCAUGCAACUUUCCACAGUUCCGUUUAUCAUCAUCAUGACAUACUUUACUUUUGUCAUAUUGCCAUUGCAUGAUCAUGUAGUUGACAUCGUAUUUGUGGCAUAGCCACCAUGCAUAAUUCAUACAUGUCACUCUUGAUUCAUUGCACCAUCCCGGUACACCGCCGGAGGCAUUCAUAUAGAGUCAUAUCUUGUUCUAGUUUCGAGUUGUAAUUCAUAUGUUGUAAUCAAUGAAAGUGUGAUGAUCAUCAUUAUUAGAGCAUUGCCCAAAAAGAAAAAAAAAGGAAAAAAAAGAAGAAAGGGCAAAAAAAGGCCCAAAAAAGAAAAAAAAAAGAAAAAAAAGAAAAAAAAGAAAAAGGGGCAAUGUUACUAUCUCUUUUUCCACACUUGUGCUUCAAAGUAGCACCACGUUUUUCAUAUAGUGAGUCUCAUAAGUUGUCUUUUUCAUACUAGUGGGAAUUUUUCAUUAUAGAACUUGGCUUGUAUAUUCCUACGAUGGGCUUCCUCAAAUGCCCUAGGUCUUCAUGAGCAAGCAAGUUGGAUGCACACCCACUAGUUUUCUUUUGUUGAGCAUUCAUUUAUAGCACUAGUGCAUCCGUUGCAUGGCAAUCCCUACUCCUCAUGUUGACAUCAAUUGAUGGGCAUCUCCAUAGCCCGUUGAUUAUCCUCGUCAAUGUGAGACUUUCUCCUUUUUUUGUCUUCUCCACACAAUCCCCAUCAUCAUAUUCUAUUCCACCCAUAGUGCUAUCCAUGGCUCACGCUCAUGUAUUGCGUGAAGGUUGAAAAAGUUUGAGAUUAUUUAAGUAUGAAACAAUUGCUUGGCUUGUCAUCGGGGGUAUAGAAGUUGGGAACAUCUUUGUGUGACGAAAAUGAAGCAUAGCCUAACUAUAUGAUUUUGUAGGGAUGAACUUUCUUAUGCCAUGUUAUUUUGAGAAGACAUGAUUACUUUGAUUAGUAUGCUUGAAGUGUUACUGUUUCUUUUAUCAAUAUGAACUUUUAUUUUGAAUCAUUUGGAUCUGAACAUUCAUGCCACAAUAAAGAAAAUUUCAUUGAGAAUUAUGCUAGGUAGCAUUCCACAUCAAAAAUUCUUUUUUAUCAUUUACCUACUCGAGGACGAGCAGGAUUUAAGCUUGGGGAUGCUUGAUGCGUCUCCAACAUAUCUAUAAUUUUUGAUUGCUCCAUGCUAUAUUAUCUACUGUUUUGGGCAAUAUUGGGCUUUAUUAUCCACUUUUAUAUUAUUUUUGGGACUAACCUAUUAACCGGACGGCCAGCCCAGAUUUGCUGUUUUAUGCCUACUUCAGUGUUUCAAGGAAAAGGAAUAUCAGACGGAGUCAAAACGGAACGAACUCAACUGGAGAAGUUAUUUUUGGAAGGAAAGCCACCGGAUAGACUUGGACUCUACGUCAGAAGAUACGGGAGCUGGUCACGAGGGUGGGGGGCGCGCCCACCCCCCUAGGGCGUGCCCCUGCCUCGUGGGGCCCCCGAAGCUCCACCGACGUACCCCUUGCAGCCAUAUAUACCUACGUACCCUAAAACUUCCAGAACAGAAGAUAGAUCGGGAGUUCCGCCGCCGCAAGCCUGUGUAGCCACCAAAAACCUCUCGGGAGCCCGUUCCGGCGCCCUGCCGGAGGGGGAUCCCAUCGCCGGUGGCCAUCUUCAUCAUCCCGGUGCUCUCCAUGACCAAGAGGGAGUAGUUCACCCUCGGGGCUGAGGGUAUGUACCAGUAGAUGUGUGUUUGAUCUCUCUCUCUCGUGUUCUUGAUUUGGCACGAUCUUGAUGUAUCGCUAGCUUUGCUAUUAUAGUUGGAUCUUAUGUUUCUUCUCCCCCUCUACUCUCUUGUAAUGGAUUGAUUUUUCCACUUGAAGUAAUCUUAUCGGAUUGAGUCUUUAAAGAUUUGAGAACACUUGAUGUAUGUCUUGCCGUGCGUAUAUGUGGUGACAAUGGGAUAUCACGUGCCACUUGAUGUAUGUUUUGGUGACCAACUUGCGGGUUCUCCCCAUGAACCUAUGCAUAGGGGUUGGCACACGUUUUCAUCGUGAUUCUCCGGUAGAAACUUUGGGGCACUCUUUGAGGUUCUAUGUGUUGGUUUGAAUAGAUUAAUUGAGAUUGUGUGAUGCAUAUCGUAUAAUCAUGCCCACGGAUACUUGAGGUGACAUUGGAGUAUCUAGGUGACAUUAGGGUUUUGGUUGAUUUGUAUCUUAAGGUGUUAUUCUAGUACGAACUCUAGGGCUGUUUGUGACACUUAUAUGAAUAGCCCAACGGAUUGAUUGGAAAGAAUAACUUUGAGGUGGUUUCGUACCCUACCAUAAUCUCUUCGUUUGUUCUCCGCUAUUAGUGACUUUGGAGUGACUCUUUAUUGCAUGUUGAGGGAUAGUUAUAUGAUCUAAUUAUGUUAUUAUUGUUGAGAGAACUUGCACUAGUGAAAGUAUGAACCCUAGGCCUUGUUUCAACGCAUUGCAAUACCGUUUACGCUCACUUUUAUCAUUACUUACCUUGCUGUUUUUAUAUUUUCAGAUUACAAAAACCUAUAUCUACCAUCCAUAUUGCACUUGUAUCACCAUCUCUUCGCCGAACUAGUGCACCUAUACAAUUUACCAUUGUAUUGGGUGUGUUGCGGACACAAGAGAGUCUUUGUUACUUGGUUGUAGGGUUGUUUGAGGGAGACCAUCUUCAUCCUACGCCUCCUACGGAUUGAUAAACCUUAGGUCAUCCACUUGAGGGAAAUUUACUACUGUCCUACAAACCUGUGCACUUGCAGGCCCAACAACGUCUACAAGAAUAAGGUUGUGUAGUAGACAUCAGACACCACGGUCAAAUUGUCAAGGUCUCCCCAAGAGGAGAUGGCACACGGACAUGUAACCACGUCACACUCGAUGGUGUCCUCGUAGGCGCCAAUCUUGGAAGAAACAUGCAUGGUGUGCUCCACUUGAAUUGUGUCUGGGUCGCUAAGCCAUUGGACCUUGUAGAGGCGAGGAUGCUUCUUAUUGACCAAUUGCAGCUUGCAGCAUAGCUCUCCACUUGCCAAGUUGUGGCAGCUUCCUCCAUCGAUGAUGACUUUCACGGAGUGCCCGUUGAUGUCGGCCUUGGUGUAGAAGAUGUGACACCUUUGGUCUUCGUCUUGGUGGUGUUGGAGCGUCAAAACCUUGGAGACCACGAGAGCGGGACUUGAAUCAUUGUCACAAUAGACUUGAGCAUCUUCUUCUUUGUUCACUUGACGGUGCAUGGCGGCGUGCUCUAUAGCUUCCAUCUCUUCUUAACUCAUGGAGUCGUAUGAGCCAUCAUCAUUGGCAAUCAUGGUUCGCUUGUUGAUGCAUUGGAAAGACUUGUGUCCAUGGCCACCACAUGUGAAGCACUUGAUAGAACUUGUCUUGACAGGAUCGUCCGAUGGUGCCGAAUAAAAGGUCUUGUUCUUGUAGGUGCUUGCCAGAGGACGAGUCGAGGAAGGCGUUGCUUGCUUGAACGUUGGCUUGUCACCGGUACUUGGUGCUGCUCUCGUCGAAGUAGGAGGUGUCUAAGUCGUAGUAGGGGUAGCUUGAGUGUAUGAGCCGUAGGUCUUGGAUGAGUACUUGGCGAACUUGAAGUCUUCUUAUACUUGACGUUCCGCCUUGGUCACUUGGUGAACUAGCUCGAGGAGGUUGGAGUAGGGUUGGAAGUCGGUAAUCUUCCGUAUUGGGUGGUUGAGGCCGUUCAAAAAGCGUGCCAUUGUUUUCCCGUCAUCUUCUUUGACAUUGGCUCAUAUCAUGGCAAUAUCCAUUUCUUGAUAGUAUUCUUCCACCGUCUUCGUGCCUUGCUUGAGGAGUUGCAACUUCUUGAAGAGAUCUCGAGUGUAGUACAUAGGCACGAAGAGAGCUCUCAUGACUUCCUUAAUUUGUGCCCAAGUCGUGAUGGGUGGCUCGUCCUUCUCACGACGUCGCUCGAUGACUUGCUCCCACCAAAUUAGGACAUAGUCUUGAAACUCGAGAGAUGCCAUGGCGAUCUUAUUUUCCUCGUCUUAGUUGUGGGGACGGAAUUCUUGUCAACAUUCAAUUCCCAUGAUAGGUAUUCCUCGGGAUCGUUGCUUCCGGAGAACUUGGGCAUGGUGAACUUGAGCUUGCCAUAUCGAAGUUCUUCAUCAUAGUGAUGAUGGUGAUAUCGGUCUUGUCGAGGAGGAGGAUCAUCAAGCAUUCGAUCCGCUUGAUGUCGCUCUUGGUGUGGAGGAGGGUCAUGGAUCACUCUAUCCGGUUGCCGAGGAGGAUGUCAAGGCAUAUGUUCCCGGUUUCGCCUUUCUUGUUGUUCUUCACGUCGAGUGGCUUCUUCUUGUAUUUCCUGCCGAAGAGCUUCUUCUUGCUCACGUACUUGACGACUUCGUUGGGCGAUGGCUCGAGUGGAAUCUCGGAGUGCGUCUUGAGCCGCUUGAGCUUGAGCUUCACGGUCUUGUUGCUCUUGUCGGGUUGCCUCGCCGUCUUGAGAUGCUCUACGUGGGCGAUGUAGCGGUGGUUGUUAUUCUUGAUCCAUGGCAUCUUGUUCAUGGCGUCGCGCCUUCUCACGUGCUCAAACUCGGUCUUGUAGGCCAUUGCCAUGGAAUGGAUUUUCUUGCGCUUGGUGGUCUUGAGUGUUGUCGCGUCGAGGAGGACUCGCAUCGGAAGACGAGUAGGAAGACGAGUGGCGACUUGAGGGACACCGUCUUGGUGAACAAGUUGAGGAAGAUGCGCGGCUCACGAUCUUGUUGCGGAAUUCAUCCAUUUGUUUGGAGAGCUUGGUGUCCAAAUAGUCCCGUUGCCGUGCUUCCGAUUGUCGUAGGUCGGUGGCGAGUUGUUCGAUGCGUUCACCCAAAGCUUCGCUCUCUUGAUGUAGAGCUCGUUGUGCGAUGAAGAAGUGAUUCUUGGUGACGUAGUCGCGUUCGCCAUCUUGCUCCUCAAAGAAAGGGUUCACCAAAGAAGAAGGCCUAUCCAUCAUGUGGAAGUGGUGGUGAGUAGGAAAAUGAGAGAACAAAACCAAAGCUACCUUUUCCAAAGAUUGUGGAUGUAACAAGUACGAUCCCACGUGAUGCUAUAAUGGAGAAUUGGUACUUGGUAUUGUUUCUCACACCUACAACUAAAAGGCUUAUGGAGGAGCUCGGUUAGGAAGUGGCACAAAUAAUUCAAGCAAAUGUUAGUCAAGAUGUUGACAAAGUUGAGAAGAUUCACAAAUGGCAAGUAAGACAAAUAGAUCAAACCCAAGGAUAUCACUAGGAACACACACAUGGAAGAUAAAUGGGAUCUGCACAACCAAGGAGUGAGCUCUAAGAUGUGAAACCACGGAAAUGCUCGAGUUGUACGGAUACUAGAGAGACGCUAGCUCGAUUGCUCUAAUGGGCUAGAUACGCUAGUGCCCCAACCUAGAAGAGAAACGAGUCUUGCUAUCCCAAGUAUGCUUAUGUAUGUAAUGACCAAGAUGAUGUAGCUAUGCUAUAAGGCUCAAUGCUAUUGCUUAUAAGCUCUUUGCUUAUCUUCUCUUUUUCUUAAAAGCUUUUCUUCUCUUUUUUUGACUAUGCCACAAUGCUUGAUAUGCGAGCCACAACACGACAUAACAAGUAGUAUUUGCACGGGAGAGACGUAACACUAAUGGUGCACUAAAGCGUGACCCGGUAAUACUCGACAAGCUAGUCUCGAUGGGUAAGCUAUGCAAAAGAGGCUCGGAGUUAUCAAGGUAAUGGCAAGGGUAAUACAAUGGUGUCGUCGAGGUUACCGUCCUUGCUUACGGUUUUUAUGAAGAUGGAGUGGUCGGAGCCAAUGUGGAGUCCGAGUCGAUGGUCGAGUGGCGAUGAUGAUGACGUCAAAUCGCACCUAAGUAGCCAAAAUACCUUAGGACACAAGAGAAACCGCAACCCAAAACUCAAACAACCACGAGAAAUAUUGAAGAAGAACACAAGUGGUGGUGGGGUGUCAAAAAGAUGGAAAAACAAAACUGGCUGAAUGUCCCUGGAUGGUCCAUACGCACGGGGUAAGUGAGAUCCGUGUGCACGGGGUCCCAUGUGCAUGGGGUCCCGAUGGCCCGUGUGCACGGGGUCCUCAGCGAGCGAAUGAACAGCUCUGGAUCCAUGAGUAUUUGCAAACUGGAGGCCAAUUUUGAGGGUUUGGAGGGUUUGGAGGGUGGGGAAGAUGGUAGGGGGUAGAUCCACUUGCCAAGCACCAAAUUCGUGGAUCAAAUCAACCAAAUCUGACAAGAUCAACAAAUUGCAAGAAAAUUUUUGGUGGGGAUUUUCGGAUUAGGACUAAAAACAACAAAUCAAGCUAGAAAGUGGAGGGUAUGGACUCGAUGUGAAUCAACCUUGCUCAUGAUACCAAGAUGUUGUAGGGUGAAGCUCUAAGAUGGAUCUUUUCACACUUGGAAGGGAAAAGAGGAAGAAACCCAAGAACACAAAGAUGAAUUCACUCCAACAAUACCAAAUUACACAUCCACUAGAAUAGCAACACAAGAUCCACAAGUCACAAACACAAUCAAAGGAAAGAUACAAUGGUAGAGUUCUUCCCACUCCUAGGAGAUGAGGUCUUGAUGAUGGUAGUUUUCUGCAAGAUGGAGGUCUUGAAAUCCACAAGUGGAUCCUCUCCAAGGAGGCCUUGAUCUCCAAUAGAGGUGGUAGAAGGAGCAAAGCUCACAAAUAUCUCAUCUAAUUUUUGCUAACCCUAAACAUAACCCUAGGUACGUAAUAUAUAGGCUUGGGUCGAAGUGGAAGAAGGGGGGAUCCAAAACAGCAUCUCAGCCGCCCAUCCUGUAGGGUUCGUGCGCACGGGGUAAGUUGGGCCCGUACGCAUGGGGUGCUACAGUCGGAGCUCCCUGUGUAGCCCGUGGGCGUGGGUCUCGGGGGCCCGUGCGCACGGGGUCGCCUGGGACUUCCAGUCCAACUCCUGUUUGGCUCGGUCUUCCUCCUUGGUGACUUGGGUCACUUCUCCUUGGACUUGGUGGUGCUCCUCAGCUGCUUGGAAGGGUUCCUCUAUAUACCUAAUGAGGCAUAGAGUAUUUUGGUGACGUACCAACCAAGUUCCACUUGUAUUCAUAUGCAUGUCAACUAGGAAGGAGUUCACCUCGGUUUCCAUUGCACGUGCUCUAGCUCUUGUCAUUGGUCCAUGUGGUGCUUGAGGUGUCAGUGUAGAGUCCAUGGGGAUGGUGGAAGGAUGCUCUGCAUCAGUAUGUUUUUUAUGAGGAGGCACUGCCAGAAGCCACCAAAUGGAUGGCGAUCGCAAAAGUUUGCAUAGAUAAACCAUACAGCCAAUUCUGGUUCUUCAAGAACAUACGUCAGGGUGGGAUCCAGCUCAACACGUGAAGUUUAGGCCAUUGAAAGAUAGUAUGUAUACUCUCCGGUUCUUUUUCCUUGGGGAUUGGGUGCAAGUGAUACAAGAGGGGCUUUGAAAUUCCGAAGUAAUGUUGUAUUCAUAGCUCCAUACGACAGUAUGACGAAGCCCUCGACGAUCAAACUUGACACACUAGACAUCUGGAUACAUAUAGAUGAUUUUCCUAAUGGUUGUGCUCAUUUAGUCACACCUUCGGCAGCCAAGAUUGGAGAGGUCUUGUAUGCUGAAACACGAUCCCACGACUUUACAUGCAACUUCUUUCGUGUUUGGGUAAGAAUAAAUGUUGUGAAACCGCUCAAGAGCACUGUCACUAUGGUUCGUGAUCUUAAGCGUCAGAUCUACAAAAAGUUAAGUAUGAAAAUUUGUCAGAUAGGUGUUCUGUGUGCGGUCUGGGUAUGCAAAACCGAACCGAAAACCAAAAAACCGACAAAAUACACCAUACGGAACCAAUUUUUUGGUUUUUCAGGUUUUGGUUUUUGUUUGGGUUUUGCUAUAGAAAAACCAUUUGCAUUUUGGUUUUUUUGGUUAGAAGCUGAAAACAAUUUGGUUAAACCGAGUUAACCGGAUUGUCUUUUUUGGGUUCAAAAGCAUAAUGGGCUGGUACAGUACAAUACUUUCUAGCCCACUUAGUGCUUCAGUUUACGUGAUCAGUUUGACUGCUUAUUCAAUAUCUCUUUUUUAUCCUUUUCUUAUUGGUUUUUCCUCAUUACGAUAUAUAUUGUGUAUUUACAUGUGAAAAAGUUAUGUGUUGGCUCCAAAAAUUUGCAUCAACUUUGGUUAAUUUGGUUAUUACAGAAAGUGAAACAAAAGUAAAUGGUAUUAUCGAAAAUGAACCAUAUCUAUGUAUAAAACAGUUAAACCAAAAAAUAGAAAUCGUAUAAACUGAACCGAAUCAAAACAAAAAAUGAGUGCACACUCUAAGUGUGCGGCUACCUAGGACACGUCUUCGGAGAACACAGUAACGGUAUCCAUCCUCCCAGUGCAUUGGUCUUUUAAGGAUCUCGAGGCAUCUCCAACGUGGACUCUAAAACCGCCCGUAUACAUCCGGAUCGCGUGGUCUGGACGUGUUGGGCCAUCCAAAGCAAGCCUGUGUCAGUCUGUUUGACGGUCCGUAUGCACUUUCUCUUGCAAACCGGAGACAAACUAAGGGGGGCUUUGCGGGCGUCCGGACCAAUGUCAUGCCCGCGUCUGGUCACCCUGGCCCACCCAACCCCCCUCUGCCUCGCCCACGCGCACUUCCUGCCCGAAACGGUCAGCGCCGCUCCAGAGCGUUAGUGCCACCUUCAUGCCCGGCCAGAGCGGACGCAACCUCUCACUAGGGUCGUCACUAAAGUGCCACGCCGGCCAAGAGAGCGCCGUCCGCGGCACUUCCGGAUGCACGCGACUACUACACGUUCAAAAGACACCACAUUCGUUCGCCCAUCUGUCUGUCGCCCACAUUAAUGACACGCGGUUGCCAAGGAACCUACUCCGACGCCACCCAUCCAUCCAUCUGCCGCCCACCAUUGCCAUUCAGCACUAUAUAAACUGUUGCCCCGGCGAUAGCUACAUUCAUCCUCCUCCGGUCCUAUCUCCUCUCUGCACCACUCCCACCAUGGUCUCCUUGCGCUCCAAAGCUCUCUGGGGUGGACUGUCGCUGGAGCAGAGGAAGAAGAUGGCCGCCAUUGCUUCUGGCUGGCAGGCCAGCAGGUAGCCAGAGGCCGACGGCAUCCCAAUGGAGGACGGGGCCGAGGACGAGCUGAUGCAUUGCACCAUGACCAUCGGUGAGGCCCGUGCCCAUUACAUGGACAUGGUGCGGGAGGAGAGGGAUGAGCAGUUCCAGGAGGCGCAGGCCAACAUGGCCUACAACCUUCACCUCCUCCAGGAGCACCAGUAGGCGGACGAGCAGCUCAACGCCGGCAGGGAGACCACGCCGGACGCGGACAUCAUCAAGCAUGCUGCUAUGCUCGAGUCCUAUCGCUCAGCCCAUGAGAUCUGCCUCGCCCGCUGGUGGUACCGCUAGUGUCAGGCAAAACUGGAGGCCGCCUACAUGGAGUUCGAUGAGGCCGCGACGAGGUGUGAGGCAAGACCGACGAGGAGGAGGACAUUUCUGGCUCUGCCGAUGCCGCGCCCCGCCGCCACGACCACAAAACCGGCAUGUCCGCGGGCGCCGUCGUCAUGCUAGGUUGCCGCCGCUUGGGUCUCGGGAAGGCCACUGCUCUUCUCCUCCUCCUGAAGCCAAGCUUGGUGGGUUGAUAAUCGGUGGCCGAUUAAUCGGUCAAGUUGCGGUGGUGGAGGGUGCGGAGGCAGAGCUAGAGAGCUCCGAGGCUGAACUGGAGGAGGCGAAGGCAAGUGCUGGAGCUUUAGUUCUCGGGGCUCAUGACCAAACACGGGGAACGGGUGCCACCGAUCAUUUAGAUUAGGUUUAGAAUAGAAGUAUGUUCAAAAUUAUACCUCUAGAGUCGGACGAGCUCCGCUUUUAGUUGAAGCAUGUCUGAAAUGUAAUGAGUUUCGUCAUGUUUAUAUGAAAUAUGUUGUGUUCGCAUGAAUCUCUUCCGGUUUAUAUCAAAAUUUGGCUGGUUUGCGUGAAUUUCAUCCAUUUAGUUCAAAAUGUGGUUGAACUUUAUGCGGCCAGCGUUGGAUGGCGGCCUCUGGCAUCAAUGUCCGUAGACUGAUCCUUCUGUUUUUGGCGUGAUGUCAGAGCAAAUUUAUGGGUUAGUGUUGGAGAUGGGACAUCAUGUAUAUGCGAGCGGGCGGAGGCACAGGAGGUGGACGUGGCAGCCGUGGUGGUCGGGCCAAUGACGAGUUCGUAUUGUAAUGUCGCGAGAGUAAUUUUCCUUCGUCUGCCGCUUGCGGCUUCUGUCUAAAACCUUCUCCCUUAAUUAAUGAAAUGGCAAGUCUUUUCCCUUGUUUCUAAAACUUGCUUGAUGCCACACCACGCAGUCCCACUCUAGCACCUGCGUGCAUCAGGCAAUUCGACGGUGCAGUGCAGUUCUCGCCGGAGGAGAUGGCGACAGAGAAAAGCAAAAGAUUUUGCGGGAUUGGAUUUUUGGAACACGAGAUAUGACGGUUUGACAGAGGAAACACGAAAUUACCGAUACCCUAGCGUACAACGGGAGAAAGGCUGUCGAUACUAGCGAUUUUUUCCGAAUAUCCAUUUCUGAGCCCAGACUCAUCUGCAUCCGAUCAAGAAAAAAAUCACAAAAAUUCAAAAAAUCCAUUUUUUUUCUGGUGCUAGAUAAUUUGGUGUGUGAUGUGGGUUCCAAAUUUUAGAUCAUUUGGACAUACGACUAGCUCUCAGAAAAAAGACAAAUUGGGAUCAGAAUAGUAUAUUUACUUACAAACACCAAUUUAUCUUUUUGCUGAGAGCUGCUCAGAUGUUCAAACGAUCUGAAAUUUGGGGCGCACCUCACACACAAAAUUAUCUACCACCAAAAAAAUUGGAAAUUUUUGAAUUUUUCUAGUUUUUGUUUUGAAUUUUUUGUUCAACGCAGGUGCAGAUGAGCCUGGGCAUCAAAUCGCUACACUCGAUUUUCUUGGGCUAUCGACUGUCUGCCUACUCUCUCCUCCAUCUAGAUAAGUUUCCUACGUGUAUACCUUAUAGACGGCUGACAAAGCGUUGUUGUACAUGCCCUAAAAGAAACUAACUGUCAGAUUUCGGGUUCCGCAAACCCUUGAGAGGUUCAAACUCUAGGGUGCCUGCGAAGAUCUCACUCUCCCCAGUCUGUCGACUCGCCAAUCUCACAGCCUAGCGCGUCGAGCUCAAAGGAAAUGGGACACGGCAAUUUACCCAGGUUCAGGCCACCUUGCGGUGUAAAAUCCUACUCCUGCUUUGUGGUGGAUUUGCCUCGAGGGGCUGAGGGUGAACUAGUACAGUGGAGAACAACCUCAGGAGGUGUGUUCUUGGGCUCAAGUGAGCUGGUGAGGGUGGAGUGGAUGUCGUUUCAUCUCCCUCCUUUGGUGGUGGCUAGGUCCUAUUUAUAGUGGCCUUGGUCCUCUUCCCGAAUGGAGGCAGAAAGGGAUCCCACAACGGCCAAUUUUGAAGGGAGGCAACAAGUACAUCUUAUCCUAACUAAAGAGGUCUUCACCUACAAAAGCCUCUGGUAGUGACGCUGCGGUGGGCUCGGCGAUGACCUCCAUCUUGCCGUCCUGGCGGUCUUGGUCUUGUUGCACGGGAAUGGAAACCUUUGGAUGCUUCCUCGGGACUCCGUGCCUGCUGCUUGCCUCCUUUGCACCAAAGAGAAAACUAGUACACUACACCCGCUGGCGCCCGCCGGCCUUAAUCGUCAUGGCUCACGUCACCCGAACCUCGCGAGGCGAGCCUUGCAUAGAAAUAUCCGCUCCUUGGGAGCCGGCCUGAGGAGGCUGAUCCCCUUGGAGGUCUUGGUGUCGUCCGCCUCACGAGGCUUGGCCCCUCGCGAGGGUCUUGGGUUGUCGAUGUCAAAACUGGGUCGUACCAGGCCGUCGGUGGAGCCACGUCGCGGGCCGCAGGCAGGCAAGUCUGGGUACCCCCGUAUCCAAAACGCAGACAGUAGCCCCCGGGCCCAAGGCGUGCUCGGACUUGGCUUCUAGGCGAAGCCAAAGGGCAAGUGCGGAGCGCUGUGGUCCCUAACCGCCUGCGGCCUUGGUCGAUGCAUGGCGAUUGAUGGGACGUGGGCAUCUCCGCUUCCCCAUGCUGCCUCAGCAACUGCCCGACUUGACGAGUCGUUGCUGCAUGCAGAGAAAACCAUCAUUGUGCGGGAUCGUGGAGGCCAGCGGUUGGCCUUCCUCUGGCUAUAAAUGAGGGGGGAGGGGCGGAGCCCCCCCUCGUUCAUCUCCAUCUCCGUCUUCUCACUGCCCGUUCCUUCUUCUUCUUCACCUCGUCGUAGCAUUCAUGGUGCCAGUCAGGAGAUUCUCUGCGGCGGAGAAGGGAAAAGCCCCUCAGGAGGAGCCAGAACCGCUUCCGCCGAAGAAAAGGUUUUGUCGUCCUUGCGAUGCCCGCGCGGGGCAGGAGGUGACCCGGCCUUGGCACGAACGGCCUCCGCCCGUCUUCCUUCUUCCCUUAUACGCCCGUGCGCAGGACAGCAAUGCCCACCGCUGAGCGAUUCGGGGCCAUGAACCCACGCUGAGGGCAGCUCGCGUGAGUUCGUGGUGUGGACGGUGGUGCCGCCUCGCUCGCGGAUCCGAUUCCCGAGGUUCUUCGCCGACGAGAUGCCGCCGAGGGGCCACUCGAGUUGUGGCUGCAGCACGCCGGGUGCUGCAGCCUGGCCACCGGAGUUAAGGUCGAGGUAGUGCCUCCUAGUGAUAUCUUCAUGACCCGUGGAUGGGGCGAGGUCGCCCUCACCUGUCGCUUUGAAGGGGCUCUCGCCAUCCACUUCGAGUAUGACGGCGCCUCCAUGUUGCUCUUCAAGGUCUUCGACGAGGAGCUGAGCAAGGUCAUGCACUCCUUGCUCGGGAAGGACCAGGGCGGCCCCCCGGACGACCACCUCCCGAUGUACUUCCGAGAUGGCAGGAAGGAGAUAGCCACUGCCAUGCUUGUCUUCAACGAGCGCGGGCUUGUGUCGCUGGAGCCUUCCCAUCCGGCAGGCUCCCUGGUGGACGUGUCCUCUGGCGACCACUCCUCCGAAGCCACCUUGGAGGGGGAGGGGGAGACCUCCCCACCACGGCAAAGCGACCUCCUCCGUGCCUUCUCUGAUGAUGAUGACGCUGGUGCGCACCCGGUCAGGGAGUCAGCACGCUCUGCCGGGGUCACCACGAGAUCUGGGGGGACCCCUCCAAAGAAGCCGAAGCGAGGGGUACCGAAGAGGGACAGGUUAACGCUGCUUCCCCUAAGCAGCGCUCCUGCUUCGCCGCCAUCAUCUAGCGUGGGGCCGGCCAUGCACUCGUCCGCUCCUGAGAGCGCAGCGCUGCCCGCGCCCGGGAAGUUCGCGCUUGUGGGCGUGAAGAGGAACUACGUCGCCAUGGAUCAGUAAGUGCACCUCCUCGCCCUUUCUUUGGAUUUCGAUGUAGUGCUUGUUGGGGAACGUAGCAUGCAAUUUCAGAAAAAUUCCUACGAUCACACAAGAUCUAUCUAGGAGAUGCAUAGCAACGAGAGGGGGAGAGUGUGUCCACGUACCCUCGUAGACCGAAAGCGGAAGCGUUAGUUAACUCGGUUGAUGUAGUCGAACGUCUUCACGAUCCAACCGAUCCAAUUACCGAACGUACGACACCUCCGUGUUCAGCACACGUUCAGCUCGAUGACGUCCCUUGAACUCUUGAUCCAGUAGAGGGUCAAGGGAGAGUUCCGUUAGCACGACGGCGUGGUGACGGUGUUGAUGAUGUGGUCCGCGCAGGGCUUUGCCUAAGCACUACGACGCUAUGACCGGAGGAGUAAAUUAUGGAGGGGGGCACCAAACAUGGCUAAGAGAAUUCUUGGUGUGCCUUUGGGGUGCCUGAUAACCCACAAGUGUAGGGGAUCGCAACAGUUUUCGAGGGUAGAGUAUUCAACCCAAAUUUAUUGAUUCCACACAAGGGGAGCCAAAGAAUAUUCUCAAGUAUUAGCAGUUGAGUUGUCAAUUCAACCACACCUGAAAGACUUAAUAUAUGUAGCAAAGUAUUUAGUAGCAAAGUAAUACGGAAAUAACGGUAACAGUGGCAAAAGUAAGAGUAGCAGUUUUAUAGUAAUCGUAAUAGUGGCAACGGAGAAGUAACUAAACAAAGAUCAAUAUGUGAAAAGCUCGUAGGCAAUGGAUCAGUGAUGGAUAAUUAUGCCGGAUGCGAUUCCUCAUGCAACAGUUAUAACAUAGGGUGACACAGAACUAGCUCCAGUUCCUCAAUGUAAUAUAUGCAUGUAUUCCGAAUAUAGUCACACGUGCUUAUGGAAAAGAACUUGCAUGACAUCUUUUGUCCUACCCUCCCAUGGCAGCGGGGUCCUAUUGGAAACUAAGGGAUAUUAAGGCCUCCUUUUAAUAGAGUGCCGGACCAAAGCAUUAACACUUAGUGAAUACAUGAACUCCUCAAAGUACGGUCAUCAUCAGGAGUGGUCCCAAUUAUUGUCACUUCGGGGUUGCCGGAUCAUAACACAUAGUAGGUGACUAUUGACUUGCAAGAUAGGAUCAAGAACUCACAUAUAUUGAUGAAAACAUAAUAGGUUCAGAUCUGAAAUCAUGGCACUCGGGCCCUAGUGACAAGCAUUAAGCAUAGCAAAGUCAUAGCAACAUCAAUCUUAGAACAUAAUGGAUACUAGGGAUCAAACCCUAACAAAACUAACUCGGUUACAUGGUAAAUCUCAUCCAACCCAUCACCGUCUAGCAAGCCUAUGAUGGGAUUACUCACGCACGGUGGUGAGCAUCAUGAUAUUGGUGAUGGAGGAUGGUUGAUGAUGACAAUCGUGUUGGAUUCCCCUCUCCGGAGCCCCGAACGGACUCCAGAUCUGCCCUCCCGAGGAAGAUUAGGGCUUGGCGGCGGCUCCAUAUCAUAAAACGCGAUGAAUCCUUCUCCCCGAUUUUUUCUCCUGGUGAAUAUAUGGAGUUGGGGUUGAGGUCGGUGGAGUCCUAGGGGGCCCACGAGGCAGGGGGCGCGCCCUGCACCCUCAUGGCAAGGGUGCGGGCCCCCUGAUGCUGAUUCCUUCACCAAUAUUUUUUAUUAAUUCCAAAACGUGUCUCCGUGGAUUUUUUGGUCAUUCCGAGAACUUUUAUUUCUGCACAAAAAUAACACCAUGGCAACUCUGCUAAAAACAGCGUCCGUCUGGGUUAGUUCCAUUCAAAUCAUGCAAGUUAGAGUCACCAUGAACAUGAAUAUCGUGGAGGCUAUGUUGCUUUUGUUUCAACUACAUGUUUGAACAUGUGCCAAGUCAAGCCACUCGAAUCAUUCAAAGGAGAAUACCACCCUAUCAUACCACAUCACAAUCAUUUUAAUAGCAUGUUGGCACGCAAGGUAAACCAUUAUAAACUCCUAGCUAAUUAAGCAUGGCAUGAGCAACUAUAAUCUCUAAUUGUCAUUGCAAACAUGUUUCAUUCAUAAUAGGCUGAAUUAGGAACAAUGAACUAAUCAUAUUUACAAAAACAAGAUAGGUCGAGUUCAUACCAGCUUCUCUCAUCUCAAUCAGUCCGUCAUAUAUCGUCAUUAUUACCUUUUCACUUGCACGACCGAACGGUGUGGAUAAUAAUAAUAGGGCACGUGCAUUGGACUAAGCUGGAAUCCGUGAGCAUUUAAUUCAAAGGAGAAGACAAGGUAAUAUGGGCCCCUGGUUAGAUCAAAAAUAAUGCAUAUGAGAGCCACUCAACAUUUUCAUCGUGGUCUUCUCCUCUCGACCCCCAAAGUAAAGAAAAGAAACAAAACUAUUUACACAGGAAAGCUCCCAACAAGCAAAGAAGAACGAGAAAUCUUUUUGGGUUUUCUUUUAAUUACUACUACUACAGGCAUGGAAAGUAAACUAGCUAAAAGAUACAACUAAUUAUUUUUUUUGGUUUUUCUUAAGGUUUUUCAAACACACAAGAAGAAAGCAAGAAAAGAAAAUAAACUAGCAUGGAUAGUACAAUGAAAAAGUAUGAGCACCGACAACUAGCAUGAGUGUGUGAACAUGAAUGUAAUGUUGAUGAGAAAUACGUACUCCCGCAAGCUUAGGAUUUUGGCCUAAGUUGGUCUAUGGCCACUGGUCGAAGCUACUCUCUCUGAUGUGCUGGGGAGGGUCCUCAGGGUGCCACUGGUUAGCGAUCUCCUCCGGAUCCCACUGAUAAACAGACUGUCGAUAUGGGUCAAGUGGUGGCUCAGGCUCACGCUCUGGGACUUGUGUCAGCCUCCAGUAUGCAUAAAUGGCCUCGGGCAAGAUGAGGUACGUGCCUGAAAGUAUGUUAAACAAAGAGGGUGCAGGCAAGGUAAUAGUUUCAUAGUGAGUUUUAUCAAAUAUCAAAUUAUACUUAAGCAUCUUCUUCUUAUUUUUAACAAUAAGUUCAUGUGCUACCAUACUCUUAUAAUCUAGAAAAAUAGUGGGAAGCAACUUUUCCUCUUUCUCAUGAUGCCUAAUAGGUAUCUCAAAAUGUUUAGCAAGGCGUGAGGUAAAGAUGCCUCUGAAGAUGGGGCCCUUUGUACGGUUCAGACUUAACCAUUUAGCAACAAUAGUGCCUAAACUGAAUGUUGUAUCACGAAACAAAGCAUGGCGCAAAAUAACAAUAUCAGGAGCACUAAAAUUUCCACUGUUCCCGCGACCAAUUAAGCAUCUACUAACAAAUAUCGCAAAGUAAAGUAGAACAAGAAAAUGUAUACUAGUAAUUCUUGCAUCGGAAACUUUCCUUGUUUCCCCUACAGCAAUUCUAUCAAUAAACUCAUCCACAUCACUAUGAUGUGGUUCCUCAAUGCUGCCCACAAAGGGUAUCUUGCAGACCCGACAAAAAUCAUGGAGUGACAUCUCCUUAACCUCAUCAUAUAAGUGAAACUCCACUGAAGGUGGUGAUUUCUUAGCAUGGAAACAAAUUUUGCACAAAAAUAUUAGUGAGUAGGAGAUAUAGUUCGCGCUGGUCAUGGAGGAAGUCGGUGAGGCCUGCAUUCUCAGCCAAGUAAUAAAAGUCAUCGUAAAUUCCGGUGGCCCUCAAGAACGUAUCACAAGGCCAUUCACUCGGCCGGACCUCCGCGGUGCGAGGAAGAUUGUAUUAGGGCUUUUUAUUCUCCUCAUUCUGCUUAUCCUUCGAGCUUCGGCUCGAGGAGCCCCUCAACAAUCUCUUCAUCAUUUUCUUUCUCUUAAAAAUUUCUGAAAUUUUUAGUGACUCAAAAUAAAAGUGAACCAAACUCAACAAGAUUGAUAGCAACUACUCCCACAAGUGCCCAGAGUUUGUAUCAUGCAUUAAAACUACUUUGGACCAUAUAAAUUUGGCAUGCAAGCUCAAGAACAGGGUCACCUUAGCAGCAACAAUUUGCAAUAAAUAAAGCACUAGAACAAAAACUAAUUGGACCAUUAGAGGAGUCACAUACCGAAGAACAAUCCCCCAAAGCAGUUUUGUGAAUGGAGCUUUGAGCAAGGAGAUAAAAAAUGGCAGCAAAACGAGCUAGAACAUGGGUUUGAGCUAUGGGAGGAUUUUUUUUGGAAGAAGACGAAGUGUGUGGGUGCUGGAAUAAGUGGGGGUCCAUGUGGGGCCCACGAGGUAGGGGGCGCCCCAGGGGCGCGCCCUGUGCCCUCGUGGCCAAAUGGUGGGUCCCCCUGGUGUGUUCUAAGUGCCAGAAAUUCUUAAAUAUUCUACAAAAAAUCAUACUUCAUUUUCAGGGCAUUUGGAGAACUUUUAUUUUCGGGGUAUUUUUUAUUGCAUGGAUAACUCAGAAAACAGAUAGAAAAUACCAAUUUUGCUUUAUUUAAUCUAAAUAACAGAAAGUAAAAGGAGGGUACAGAGGGUUGCGCUUUCUAGCUUCAUCCAUAUCAUGCUUAUCAAAAUGAAUCCACUAACAAGGUUGAUCAAAUCUUGUUAACUUCUUCCGAAUAACAUAAAAUCAGAGAAUAUUUGAAUAACACCUGGUUACCUCAACGGGGAUUUGCAUGUCCCCAACAAUAAGAAUAUCAUAUUUCCUUUUGACAGUAGGAAGAGGGAAUUCAAAACCUCCAAUAGUAAUCAUUGAAAUUGUUCCAAUAGAAUUGAUAAGAUGAACUUGAGGUUGUUUCCUCGGAAAGUGUAUUGUAUGCUCAUUACCAUUAACAUGAAAAGUGACAUUGCUUUUGUUGCAAUCAAUAACAGCCCCUGCAGUAUUCAAAAAGGGUCUACCAAGGAUGAUCGACAUACUAUUGUCCUUGGGAAUAUCAAAAGUCCGUUAAGAUAGUAACGUUUACAACCACAACAAGCACAUCCGGUAUAGCUGUUGAUUUAUCGGACAUUUGCAAAGAGAUUUCAGUAGGUGUCAACUUAUUAAAAUCAAGUCUAGGAUAUAAAGAGAGAGGCAUAACACUAACACCAGCUCCAAGAUCACAUAAAGCAGUUUUAACAUAGUUUCUUUAAUGGAGCAUGGUAUAGUUGGUACUCCUGGAUCUCCUAUUUCUUUGGUAUUCCACCUUUAAAAGUAUAAUUAGCAAGCAUGGUGGAAAUUUCAGCUUCCGGUAUCUUUCUUUUAUUUGUAACAAUAGCAUAAGGAUUCAUUUUAAGCAUAUCAAUCAAACGCAUAUGCAAAAAGAUAGGUCUAAUCAUUUCAGGAAAGCGCUCAAAAUCCUCAUCAUCCUUUUUCUUGGAUGGCUUAGGAGGAAAAGGCAUGGGUUUCUGAACCCAUGGUUCUUUUUCUUUACCAUGCUUCCUAGCAAUGAAGUCCCUCUUAUCAUAACCUUGAUUCUUUGAUUGUAGGUUAUCAAGAUCAACAGCAAGUUCAAUUUCUACAUCAUUUUUAUUACUGGGUUGAGCAUCAACAUGAACAUCAUUAUUAACAUUAUCACUAGAUUCAUGUUCAUUACCAGAUUGUGUUUCAGCAUUAGAAAUAGAAAUAUCAUUGGGAUUCUCAGGUGUGUAUAUAGCAGGUUCACUAGAAGCAUGCAAAGUCCUAUCAUUUUUCUUUUUCUCCUUCUUAGAAGGACUAGGUGCUUGAACAUUAGUUCUCUGAGAAUCUUACUCAACUCUCGUAGGAUGGCCCUCAGGAUACAAAGAUUCCUGAGUCACUCUACCACCUCUAGUCAUAACUCUAACAACAUUAUCAUUUUUCUUAUUAUUUAACUCACUGAGCAAAUCAUCUUGUGCCUUAAGUACUUGUUCUACUUGAGUGGUAACCAUAGAUGCAUGUUUACUGAUAAGCUUAAGGUCACCUUUAACUCUAGACAUAUAAUCACUCAAGUGUUCAAUCAUAUAAGCAUUACGUUUCAAUUGUCUUCCAACAUAAGCAUUGAAGUUUUCUUGUUUAACAAUAAAGUUAUAAAACUCAUCCAAGCAUUGACUAGCAGACUUAUAACGAGGAAUAUCACCUUCAUCAAAAUCUAUAGAGAGAAUUUACCUUUACUACCUGUGUCGGGUUAUCAAGACCAUGUAUUUGUUCAAUAGGUGGUAAAUUCUUAACAUCUUCAGCUUUAAUACCUUUUUCUUUCAUAGAUUUCUUUGCUUCUUGCAUAUCUUCAGGACUGAGAAAUAAAAUACCCCUUUUCUUUGGAGUUAGUUCAGGAAGUGUCCAAUCAUUAUCAUUGCUCAAUAUAUUAUUCAAUAGCAAUUCAGCUUGCUCAACAGUUCUUUCUCUGAAAACACAACCAGCACAACUAUCCAGGUGGUCUCUGGAAGCAUCGGUUAGUCCAUUGUAAAAGAUAUCAAGUAUUUCAUUUUUCUUGAGAGGAUGAUCAGGCAAAGCAUUAAGUAACUGGAGAAGCCUCCCCCAAGCUUGUGGGAGACUCUCUUCUUCAAUUUGCACAAAAUUAUAUAUUUCCCUUAAGGCAUCUUGUUUCUUAUGAGCGCUGAAAUAGUUAGUAGAGAAGUAAUAAAUCAUAUCCUGGGGACUACACACACAACCAGGAGCAAGAGAAUUAAACCAUAUUUUAGCUUCACCCUUUAAUGAGAACAGAAAUAACUUAAGGAUAUAAUAAUAACGAAUUUUUUCCUCAUGAGUGAAUAGGGUGGCUAUAUCAUUCAAUUUAGUGAGAUGUGCCACAAUAGUUUCAGAUUCAUAGCCAUAAAAAGGAUCGGAUUCAAAUAAAGUAAUUAACUCAGGAUCGAUAGACAAAUCAUAAUCCUUAUCAGAAAUACAGAUAGGUGAAGUAGAAAAAGCAGGGUCAUAUUUCAUUCUAGCAUUCAAAGACUUUUCUUUCAGCUUAGAUAACAGUUUCUUAAGAUCAUAUCUAUCUUUGCAAGCAAAAAGGUCUCUAGCAGUUUCUUCAUCCAUAACAUAACCCUCAGGCACAUCAGGCAAUUCAUAUCUAGGGGGAGAAUCUUCAUCAUCACUUUCAUCGAUAUUAUCAGUUUCAAUAAUUUAAUUCUCUCUAACCCUAGCAAGUUGUUCAUCAUGAAAUUCACCUAAUGGCACAGUAUUAUCAAGCAUAGAAGUAGUGUCAUCAUAAGCAUCAUGCAUAGCAGAAGUGGCAUCAUCAAUAACAUGUGACAUAUAAGAAUCAAUAGCAGGUGUAGGUGUUGCAAGCUUACUCAAACCAGAAGGUGAAUCAAGUGUAGAGCUAGAUGGUAGUUCCUUACCUCCCAUCGUAGUUGAGGGAAAAAUCUUGGUUCUUUCAUCUUUCAAGUUCCUCAUAGUGAUCAGUAGAUAUAAAUCCCAAGUGACUCAAAGAAUAGAGCUAUGCUCCCUGGCAACAGCGCCAGAAAAUAGUCUUCGUAACCCACAAGUAUAGGCGAUCGCAACAGUUUUCGAGGGUAGAGUAUUCAACCCAAAUUUAUUGAUUCUACACAAGGGGAGCCAAAGAAUAUUCUCAAGUAUUAGCAGUUGAGUUGUCAAUUCAACCACAACUGAAAGACUUAAUAUCUGCAGCAAAGUAUUUAGUAGCAGAGUGAUAUGGAAAUAACGGCAAUGGUGGCAAAAGUAAUAGUAGCAGUUUUGUAGUAAUCAUAACAGUGGCAAUGGAGAAGUAACUAAACAAAGAUCAAUAUGUGAAAAGCUCGUAGGCAAUGGAAUAGUGAUGGAUAAUUAUGUCGGAUGCGAUUCCUCAUGUAAUAGUUAUAACAUAGGGUCAGAACUAGCUCCAGUUCCUCAAUGUAAUGUAGGCAUGUAUUCCGAAUAUAGUCAUACGUGCUUAUGGAAAAGAACUUGCAUGAAAUCUUUUGUCCUACCCUUCCGUGGCAGCGGGGUCCUAUUGGAAACUAAGGGAUAUUAAGGCCUCCUUUUAAUAGGGUACCGGAGCAAAGCAUUAACACUUAGUGAAUACAUGAACUCCUCAAACUACGAUCAUCACCGGGAGUGGUCCCGAUUAUUGUCACUUCGGGGUUGUCGGAUCAUAACACAUAUUAGGUGACUAUUGACUUGAAAGAUAGGAUCAAGAACUCACAUAUAUUCAUGAAAACAUAAUAGGUUCAGAUCUGAAAUCAUGGCACUCGGGCCCUAGUGACAAGCAUUAAACAUAGCAAAGUCAUAGCAACAUCAAUCUUAGAACAUAAUGGAUACUAGGGAUCAAACCCUAACAAAACUAACUUGAUUACAUGGUAAAUAUCAUCGAACCCAUCACCGUCCAACAAGCCUACGAUGGGAUUACUCACGCACGGCGGUGAGCACCAUAAAAUUGGUGAUGGAGGAUGGUUGAUGAUGACGAUGGCGACGGAUUCCCCUCUCCAGUGCCCCGAAUGGACUCCAGAUCAGCCCUCCCGAGGAAGAUUAGGGCUUGGCGGCGGCUCCGUAUUGUAAAACACGAUGAAUCCUUCUCCUCGAUUUUUUUCUCUCCCCGAAAGUGAAUAUAUGGAGUUGGGAUUGAGGUCACUGGAGUCCCAGGGGGCCCACGAGGCAGUGGCGCGCCCCAGGGGGGAGGGGGCGCGCCCUGCACCCUCGUGGCCAGGGUGCGGCCCACCCUGAUGCUGAUUCUUUCGCCAAUAUUUUUUAUUAAUUCCAAAACGUGUCUCCGUGGAUUUUUCAGGUCAUUCCGAGAACUUUUAUUUCUGCACAAAAAUAACACCAUGGCAAUUCUCGUGAAAAUAGCGUUAGUCCGGGUUAGUUCCAUUCAAAUCAUGCAAGUUAGAGUCCAAAACAAGGGCAAAAGUGUUUGGAAAAGUAGAUACGUUGGAGACGUAUCAGUGCCCCCUGCCCACGUAUAUAAAGGAGGAGAGGAAGGAGGCUGGCAGCCUAGAGGGGCGUGCCAAGGGGGAAUCAAACUAGGAUUCCCUAUCCUAGUUGGUCUCCCUUUCCUGGCUAUUCCAAGAAGGGGAAAGAGGGAAGGAGAGGGAGAGGGAGAGGGAAAGAGGGGGCCGCGCCCCCUCCCCCUUGUCCAAUUCGGCCCCCCUUGGGGGGGUGGCGCGCCACCCUGCGGGCUGCCCUCUCCUACUCCCUUAUGGCCCAUUAAGGCCCAUAACUUCCACGGGGGGGGGGGGGUCCGGUAACCCCUCGGUUCCCCGAUAAAUAUCCAAAAUGUCUCGAAACCAUUUCGGUAUCCGAAUACCUUCAUCCAAUAUAUCAAUCUUUACCUCUCGACCAUUUCGAGACUCCUCGUCAUGUCCGCGAUCUCAUCCAGGACUCCGAACAAAAUUUGGUCAUCCAAAACACAUAACUCAUAAUACAAAUUGUCAUCGAACGUUAAGCAUGCGGACCCUACGGGUUCGAGAACUAUGUAGACAUGACCGAGACACAUCUCCGGUCAAUAACCAAUAGCGAAACCUGGAUGCUCAUAUAUGCUCCUACAUAUUCUACGAAGGUCUUUAUCAGUCAAAGCGCACAAGAACAUAUGUUGUUCCCUUUAUCAUCGGUAUGUUACUUGCCCGAGAUUCGAUCGUCGAUAUCAUCAUACCUAUUUCAAUCUCGUUACCGGCAAGUCUCUUUACUCAUUCCGUAAUGCUUCAUCCCAUAACUAACUCAUUAGUCACAUUUCUUGCAAGGCUUAUAGUGAUGAGCAUUACCGAGAGGGCCCAGAGAUACCUCUCCGAUACACGGAGUGACAAAUCCUAAUCUCGAUCUAUGCCAACCCAACAAACACCUUCAGAGACACCUGUAGAGCAUCUUUAUAAUCACCUAGUUAUGUAGUGACAUUUGAUAGCACACAAGGUGUUCCUACGGUAUUCAGGAGUUGCAUAAUCUCAUAGUCAGAGGAACAUGUAUAAGUCAUGAAGAAAGCAAUAGCAAUAAAACUUAACAAUCAUAAUGCUAAGCUAACGGUGGGGUCUUGUCCAUCACAUCAUUCUCUAAUGAUGUGAUCCCAUUCAAAUGACAACACAUGUCUAUGGUCAGGAAACAUAACCAUCUUUGAUUAACGAGCUAGUCAAGUAGAGGCAUACUAGGGACACUUUGUUUUGUCUAUGUAUUCACACAUGUACUAAGUUUCCGGUUAAUACAAUUCUAGCAUGAAUAAUAAACAUUUAUCAUGAUAUAAGGAAAUAUGAAUAACAACUUUAUUAUUGCCUCUAGGCCAUAUUUCCUUCAGUGCUCAAUAUCUUCAUUUGAUGUCAGGCCGUCGCCGGCGGUGAACAGGAAGAAGGGGGACGCUUGAGCCGCCGAGGCCAAGCGUGCCAUUACGGUUGCCGCGGCUCCGGCUCAGAGGGACGUAGCAGCUCCUGACGCUCCUGCAGCGACGCUGCCCUCCCGAAGCUUCGGAACCCAGCCUCAGGAGGAGAUGACUCCCGCGGUCGAGCUGACCCUGGAGGCGCUUGUCCCUGACUCACUUGCCAGGGGACCAAAAUCUCCGGAGCCCCCGGUCCUAUCUAUUGUUGCUGCUCCACUAGUCUUGGUGCCGACAAUGCCUCCUCUUCCAUCCACCACGCCGUCAGGCCGUGGUGCUUCUGCCGCGUCUAGAGCUCUGGAGGAGGCCCGCUCCAUGGUGGACCAGCUCUGGGAUGGUCUUCAGGGUCCAGACCGGCGCCGGGCGUUAGGGCUGCUAGAGCUGGUCUCGGGGUGCUCCAAGCCGAUGCGUUUGUCAGGACGACCUGGGGCCAAGACGUGGCAUCCGCGGAGGAGGUCUAGAGGGUGGAUGGCUUAGCCGCAGCCGCCCGUGACGUGGCACUGAAGGAAGCCAAGGACGCGCAGGAGUGCUACCGCGUGGUGGAGGCCGAACUGAAGACCCUUCAAGAUUAGUAGGACACCCAGACCCAUCAGCUCAAAGUGCAGGAGGAGGAGCUAAAGGCCCAGGAGGCUGCAGUUGCCGAUCGCGAUGCCGAGCUGGCGCAGGCAGCCCAAGAACAAGCCACAGAGCGCGGCCGCCUGGACAAGUUGAAGGCGGAGGUGGAGGCGGCCCAGGCGGCCCACACCAAGCUUGUUUCUGACGAGAAGUCUCGGCUGGACGCCAGGGAGAAGCUCCUCGCAAAGACCGAGGAGGCAGGCACCAUGAAGCGUGACGCUUUCAUCGCUCUUGAGGCGAGGUCCCGCAAGGUGCUGCAGGAUCUCUUCGGGGGCGAGCGCCAGGAGCCAGCGGUGACUCCGGAGCAGGGCCCCGACGUACUGCUCCCCGAGCUUAUCACUGCGCUCGAGAGCAUCGUCGUCGGGUUCGGCCCCAUGGUGGAAGGGGAGGCAUGCACGCUUUCUUCCUCGGCCAUGACACGCGUCUUCAGCCAUCUCUAUCUUUGGGACACCAACUUCGACUUCGGCGCCUUGCUCGAGCCCGUGGACUCUGAGUCCUGCGCCGCCGCUGCUGAAGCCGUGAAAGGUCAGGUGGAGGCCGUGCUAAAGAAGUUCCUCAUUGUCGGCCCCAUGGCUGGGGCUGAAAGCAAGGAUGACGGCAACAUCAUUAAUGACGGGGCUCCCAAGGCGGGCGACGGCGACGUCCAAGGCCGAAUAAGAGGCUUGAUGGCAGCACUUCUCCCUGUUUCUGUACUGCAACAUGUAUCAUGCCUUGCGGAGGCGUAAGAACUUAUGCUUGGUACUUUUUAAGAGACAAUGUGUUUUUGUAAUGAUUUGCUAAGGUUUCGCGAUCCCUUUUCCAUUCGCUUUAGCAUCUGCAUCAGCAGGGCCCGACCCCGCGCAUACCUCAGUCGUCGUUGGGUCGUCCGGAUUGCCAGGGCGAGGCCAAGGGGUGAGGGGCUACGUGGUUAGUUAGGCUCCUGAGACGCGAUGCUCAGGAGUCCCCCUUUACGUAUGAACAGCUUUUGGAGAGGAGAUGCGAGAGUAGGUCUUAGCGUUCUGCGUCGGCAGGGCCCGAUCCCGCGCAUACCUCAGCCGCCGUUGAGUUGUCCGGAGCACCAAGACGAGGACAAGGGGUGAGGGGCUACGUGGCCAGUUAGGCUCCUGAGACGCGAUGCUCAGGAGGCCCCCUUGACGUACGAACCGACCAUCGUACCUUUCCUUGUCGGGCUCUAGCUCGGGAGGGGUGUGCGAAGACCAGGUCUGUGGGACCUAGCAGGGUGGCGUACACCAGGCGUGACAUGAGCGUAGCCCCCAUGCCCAACCCCCUCGCGCUACUCUCCCGAGCGAAAGCAGCGCGGUGAGGCUAGGCAUUGAGCACGGAGGCUCCCUGAGGUUGCUGCAGGGCGGUGAGGCCGCCCUUAGUUGUUUAUCACACUGGUACUUCCGCUCUUGCACGGGCAUAGCCGCUCCUCGGCAGUGUCGACUGCUAGCGCGGAGCAUGGUGCUUCCACUGGUAUGUGGGGGGGGCUCCCUCUAAGGGGAGCCCCCAGGGCGUGUGCAGCCCCGCCCUGACACAUGGCUUGCAUGGCAGGGCUGGAGGAGGUGUGUCUGGGCACUCGUGAGCCAGAGCGGGACUCAUGAGGCCCUACCUCAAGGUGGGUUGCGCCUGAACUUGAUUGGGAACACUGGUGAUAGUCCUGCAAGAUGGUCAGGCAACCUGCACCGAGUGAAUCUCCUGAGGUUAUCGCAUGAGAAGGCCAGACACCAAUGCCCCAGGAGGUGACGUGAACAGGACUGGCCCGCCAGAUAGAGCUCAACCGUUGGGUUUAUCGACGCUGCAGGGACGGACCCGAGCACAGACGCCGUGCCCAGUCUUCUCAUGCGACGGUCCUGAAGAAAGACAGUCAGUGCGCGGCUCCCAUGGUGAUGAGGCACCGGGUCGCGCGCCCUCACUUGUUCGUCUGCAAUUAGAUCAUGCAAGAAUAAGGCACCAAGGGCCACGGGAGGUGACGUGCACGGGAGCUACCCCGCGAGCCAGAGCUCACCCUCUUGGGUUUAGCGAUGCUGCAGGGACGAACCCGAGCAUAGACGUCGUGCCAGUCCUUAAUCAUGAGGCGGUCGCGGGUGGGCUUGCAAGGGCGCGGGACAUUCAUGGUGACGAAGCGCCGGUCAGGCAAUGAUAACCAUAAGGCAACUCGUGGAAGACGGUUAGCCAGCUCUGAUAAAUGCAAGAAGGAUACAUGCCACAGGGACGGACCCGCAUGGCUUGGGGAUAUUGUAGCCCGAGGGGUGCCCCAAACUGAAUGAACUAAAAGAUGUCACCUGGCACCGUUGCUGAAGAGGUGUCGGAGUAGCAGAAGGUGUGCACUGCAGAAGUCGCUCCUCAUGAGUCGCCCUAGCCCUAAACCUCGGGAGGCUUGGGAGGCCCGGGGGGCUCAUGAGGAUCCGUUGCCAUCUCCGCCUGGAUCGCCUGACGCUUGGCCUCUUGAUUCGCUAGGACGCCCCGCAUGUGGAGCUGGCAUGCAGCAGCUGUGUUCAGCAAACCGAAGGGCAUGCAGAUGUAGCUAUGAGGGGGCCUCGCAUCGGCCAACACGGGACAGCCAGAAGAGCUCCUGAGACGCGGCCCUGUUGAGCCCUAGGAUGUCAACGCAGACGCACAGCUUCUCGUCCUCGCCUAGGCGAGAAGCCGCGCCUGGCGGUGGGCGGCGAUCGCCCCUCAUGACCCUUGCCUCCUGAAUCUCUUUGGCUGCCUUGUCGAAGAACUCCUGAGCGCCAGGCGCCUUGCGCCCAGCGCUCUCUCCAUGAAAGCGUGCACUGAAGCAUGCCUCCACAUGGUGCCCGAGUGCCUCCCUCAUGACGUUAGCCAGGUCAGAGGCCCUCCAGAGGAGAGGCCCCGAGCCCAGCCUGAGAGGGGCACCGGGCGCACCUUCCUAUGCGAGAGGGGAAGGCACCCCGUCCACAAACGCCAGGCUGGAGGCUACCCCGCCGGAUGCCCCAUCCUCCUGAGGUCCCUGGCGGAGCAGCUGCUUCUUCUUCUUGGGAACGACCUCAGGAGGGAGGAAGGCACCCUCGUCGUCAGGGUUCUCGACCGCUGCAUCCUGGUAGGCGCGCUCGAGGGAGCACACUGCGUCCUUUUCUUCGCAAGCGACUAUGGUGAUGCUGCAGUUCCCUGGCAUCUUGAGGAUAUUGUAGUCGUUGUGCGUUGCCACCAUGAACUUAGCAAGAGCUGGGUACCCGACGAUGGCAUUGUAUGGUAGGCGAAUGUAGGCGAUGUCGAAGUCGAUGAGCUCGGUGCGGUAAUUGUCGCGCUUGCCAAAGGUGAUGGGGAGGCGGACCUGCCCGAUCGGAUGCAUGGAGCCGUCGGUCACUCCUGAGAAGGGCUUGGGAGGCUGAAGCUGGUGAUACGACACUUGAAUCCUAUUGAACAUUUGGACAGAGAGAACAUUGAGCCCUGCACCGCCAUCAAUGAGCGUCUUGGUGACGAGCACAUUGCUGAUGAUGGGCGAGCAAAGCAUUGGGAGCGCGCCAGCUGUGGUCGUGCACUUGAGUUUGAGGAGUCGAAGGUGAUGACGUACUUGGAGCACCUGAGCGGGCGCGUCUCGAGCUUUGGAAGGGCUGCAUUCACCUCACGCGCGAACUGCUUGAAGAUGCGAUGAGAGGCUGGGGCCUGGGAGCCGCCCAGGAUGCAGGCGAUGGCACGAGGCUCUUGGAAGCCCCCAACCCCCUCGUCCUGAUGGUGGUCUUCGUUCCUUCUUGGCGGCGGCGGCGGCGGCGGAGGAAGACCAACGUUGCCCUGAGGCGGAUCCUCACGAAGCUGAUCCCUCCACGCACCCUCGCGAGGCUGGCUCUGCCGGCGGUCCUCCCGAGGCUGGUCGCGCCACUCCUGACGAUGGUCACGAUCGUCCCAGCGUCCUCCACCUUGGCCUCCUCCACGACCGUAGCCUCGAUCGUUGCGCUUGGGGCGACGACCGAGGCGCCCGUCGGGGAUUGCCCUGAGCUCCUGGCAGUCGUUGGUGUUGUGGUUGUGCACGUUGUGGAAGACGCAGAAUGGGCAGCUGCCCUUGGAUAACUCUGGGUGAUCACAGAUGCGCUGUAACGCCCCGGAUACAACUUUCCAUAUUCGUAACUCCAACUCUUGCCUUUUCCGGAGAUGCGAUAUGUUAUUUCCUUCGUGGUUGGGGUUUUGUCUUUUGUUUUGCAUUGUGUUCAUGUCAUGCAUGUCAUCUCAUCGCAUCAUUCGCAUUGCAUUCGCAUGUUUUCAUUAAACUUGCAUCCAUUUCUAGUUCCGGCUUCUCCUCGAUGCCUUUGUUGUUGCCUCUUUCGAGACCAACCGUUCUUUUGUUGUCCAACCGUUUGAGCCUCUCUGCACAUCCACCAACCACCUCCGCAACCUAGUCUGAAAACUUCUCCCGGACCCGACCCGGGUUGUCAUGACCAAUGGGUCCGGAUCAUCUCCUAACAUCUAUAAAACAUCUCCGUUUUUUUAAUUGGACUUCCUACACAUAUUUUUUCUCAACCGUCCGAUUACGAUCGUAGGGAUGCUCUAACCUAAAUUCAUCUGAUAUAAAUAUCGGGGCAACCCUAGAUCUAGCCGUCCCAUCCACCCAGUCUCAUCCGCGCUGCCACCGCUCUCUUUCUUCCCCUCGGGAUCCAUCCCCACCAACCGCAGCCUCCGACCAGAUCCCUGGUUUUCCGCGCAGCCGCCCGAGCACAUCUCGAUGGAUCGAGCGCUUCGCCUCGAAGCACAACAUCCCCUGCUCAUGCCCCGAGCCUCUCGUUGUCCAGGAGCACGAGCUCCAUCGCAGCGCUGCCGCCAGCCGGAGCAGCCGGUCAUCCCCGUCGUUGCCGAACCUCGCCGCUCCUCCCCUUUUCUUUGACUUCCUUCCUCUGGUUUUUCUCUGCUCUCAACACCUCGUCUCUCUCUUUCUCUGAUCACAGGAACAAACCGGCCCUGUAGCCGCUGACCUCGUCGGCAACAGCCGACGUCAUGGACGCCAACCGCAAAGCUGUCGCCCUCUUCGUCAGCCUGGAGCCCCGCUCGUCAUCGCCCGCUCGCGCCUGAACCAAGGACCCCGCCGCCCUCCAGCUUCCCCGUAGCCCCGCAGACGCCUCCUGCCCGAGUCGUCCCGUCCUCCACCACCACCCACGCGCUGCCGUCCAGGACCCCGGCAGGUCGCACCUCGCGCCGGUUGGAGCUCCGCAGGUCGGUGCCCCUUCCAAUCGGACCUCCUCCUCCAUUCCCUCCCUUUCCCUCCGGUCUCUAACCUCUCAUUCCCUCUCUCUGUUCUCCUUGUAGCGUUGUCGCCUCCUUCAUGUGCGUCAUGCGCGAAAACCGACAAGGCUCCAGCGCCAUGGCCUUCCCCACUUCUGCCCGAGCGCCUCCAGGACCUCGUCUGCCCCGCCGCGUCGCCGAAUCCGGCCACCAGGACCCUCCAGCGCCGCCACUUCUUUCCUCAUGCUGUCGCGCCCCUUCUUCCUCUGCUUCGAGGACGAGCCAGGCGACCGCGUUGACUUCUCGUCGCCAGCCAGAUCCACCAAGCCCAGCCGGCCUCUUCUGCUUCCAGCCGGGCCUCGGCCCAUGGUGAGCCUCCAGCCUAUCCCUCGCCCCAGCGCACAUGUUAGCUUGCGCCCACCAGAUUCGGCCCAACAUGUUUUUUUUUCAGAUCCGUGAAUUUAGACAUUAUCCAGAGAAUGCCGUUUUACAGAAAAACCCCCGUUCUUCAUGCAUUUAAUAACCCACAAACCGUGCAUCGGAUUAAAAUGUUUUAAACAUGUAAAAUGCUUAGAAUUUUGUGUAGAUUAAUAAUUUGCAACUUUCAUCCAUGUUUAAAAUGUUUAAAAUGAUGUUUGCAUUUAAUUUGCUAAUUGCCAUGUUAAAAUGAUUUAAUUCAUAACUAAAUAACCGUAGCUCGGUUUUAAAUGUUCUUUAUAUGUAAAUGGGGUGGGAAAAUGCCUAGAUUAACAUGGUGCACUUUGUUUUAUUGUUUAACAACUUUAAAAUAUGUUUUAGGGCAGAACAGUAGCUAAUUCAAAAUAUGCAUAUGGGGAUUUUCCGGAAUUGUUGUUUGUUGUUCCGGCCUCAUUUAAACUUGACUAAAUAGUUAGUUUACUUUUGAUUCACCCCUUGCCAUGUUUAACAACAUUUAGUAUUGAUGAGUAGCAUAACCGAGAGAGAACUAAAUAAUUGAUGUGGAGUUUUGUCAAUAUGCAACUCAUUGCAUAUUAAGCUCCACUUAAUUUGUAGUAUUGUUUGUUGCACUUUGCCAUGCCAUGCCUCAUUAAACUGUACAUGCAUCAUACUUGAUUGUGCAUCAUGUCAUGUUUAUGUGAUGGUUGUUUACUAUGUUGCUUGCUUCUUUCCGGUGUUGCUUUUUAGUUUCGGUAACGUUGCGUUCGUGAGGAUUCGUUCGACUACGUUGGUUCGUCUACUUCAUGGACUCGUUCUUCUUCCUAGCAGGAUUUCAGGCAAGAUGACCGCUACCCUGGAUCUCACUACUAUCAUUGCUAUGCUAGUUGCUUCGUUCUAUCGCUUUGCUGCGCUACCUAUCAAUUGCUCUUCAAGCCUCCCAAAUUGCCAUGUCAGCCUCUAACCUUUGACACCCUUCCUAGCAAACUGUUGUUUGGCUAUGUUACCGCUUUGCUCAGCCCCUCUUAUAGUGUUGCUAGUUGCAGGUGAAGUUGAAGAUUGCUCCAUUAUGGACAGGAUUAUGUUGGGAUAUCACAAUAUCUCUUAUUUUAUUAAUGCAUCUAUAUACUUGGUAAAGGGUGGAAGGCUCGGCCUUAUGCCUGGUGUUUUGUUCCACUCUUGCCGCCCUAGUUUCCGUCAUACCGGUGUUAUGUUCCCGGAUUUUGCGUUCCUUACGCGGUCGGGUGAUUUAUGGGACCCCCUCGACAGUUCGCUUUGAAUAAAACUCCUCCAGCAAGGUCCAACCUUGGUUUUACCAUUUUCCUCACCUAGCCCUUUUUCCCUUGGGUUUCCGGAGCCCGAGGGUCGUCUUUAUUUACCCCCCGGGCCAGUUCUCCUCCGAGUGCUGGUCCAAACCGAGCGAUGUACGGCGCCCCCUGGGCAACUAGGGUCUAUGCCAACCCGACGUCUGGCUCAUCCAGUGUGCCCUGAGAACGAGAUAUGUGCAGCUCCUAUCGGGAUUUGUCGGCACAUCGGGCGGCUUUGCUGGUCUUGUUUUACCAUUGUCGAAAUGUCUUGUAAACCGGGAUUCCGAGACUGACCGGGUCUUCCUGGGAGAAGGAAUAUCCUUCGUUGAUCGCGAGAGCUUAUCAUGGGCUCAGUUGGGACACCCCUACAGGGUAUAAACUUUCGAGAGUCGUGCCCGCGGUUAUGUGGCAGAUGGGAAUUUGUUAAUGUCCGGUUGUAGAUAACUUGACACCAGAUCCGAAUUAAAACGCAUCAACCGUGUAUGUAGCCAUGAUGGUCUCUUCUCGGCGGAGUCCGGGAAGUGAACACGGUUUCUGUGUUAUGAUUGACGUAAGUAGGAGUUCAGGAUCACCUCUUGAUCAUUACUAGCUUCACGACCGUUCCUUUGCUUCUCUUCUCGCUCUUAUUGCGUAUGUUAGCCACCAUACUUGCUUAGCCGCUGCUGCAACCUCACCACUUUACCCCUUCCUUUCCCAUUAAGCUUUGCUAGUCUUGAUACCCAUGGUAAUGGGAUUGCUGAGUCCUCGUGGCUCACAGAUUACUACAACAACAGUUGCAGGUGCAGGAUUAUGCGAUGAUCUUGACGCGAGAGGGAUGUUACUUGUUUUGGACUUCUUCUUCUGCUUCUUCUCCGAUCAGGGGAUAGGUUCCAGGUCGGCAGCCUGGGCUAGCAGGGUGGAUGUCGUUCGAGUUUCUGUUUGUGUUUCAUCCGUAGUAGGAUGCUGCUCUUAUGUAUGAUGAUGUUGUAUUCAUGUGGCAUUGUAUGCCUCUUGUAUGUAUCCCCAUCUAUUAUGUAAUGUUGAUGUAAUGAUAUCCACCUUGCAAAAGUGUAACGCCCCAGACACACCCGUCGGUGGUCGUUACUCCUGGCGAGAUCUAGACUGGCCCCACAGAUCAAUACUAGUCUUUUAUGUGCACUUUUGCAAACCGUGCAUCCGAUUCCGGUGAUCUUUAUAUCGAUUUCAACCGAAAUCAUCUCAUCUUUCCAGCGGCAUACUUGGUUUGCCAAGUUGAUGCCUGGUUCAUCAUUUUCCUUCCGGAGCACACAUAUGCAUUGCAUAUCACAUCUCGCAUAGCAUGUCAUGUAUUGCAUCAUAUUGCUUGUGCAUUGCUCCUUGUUUGAUUGUUGUUCCAUUGCUUGUGUUCUUGCUUUGGGUAGAGCCGGGAGACGAGUACGUGAACGAGGAACCUGUUGAGAACGCCUACGAGGAUCAAGCCUUCGACAACUCUGAGAACCUUGCAGGCAAGAUGACCAUACCUUCGAUAUCACUUGUAUCUUUGCUUGCUAGAUGCUCGAUCUUUUGCUAUGCCUAUGCUACGUUACCUACCACUUGAUAUAUCAUGCCACCCAUAUUGCCAUGUCAAACCUCUAACCAUCCUUUCCUAGCAAACCGUUGUUUGGCUAUGUCACCGCUUUUGCUCAGCCCCUCUUAUAGUGUUACUAGUUGCAGGUGAAGAUGAAGUUUGUUCCUUGUUGGAACAUGGAUAUUUUGGGAUAUCACAAUAUCUCUUAUUAAAUUAAUGCAUCUAUAUACUUGGUAAAGGGUGGAAGGCUCGGCCUUAUGCCCGGUGACUUGUUCCACUCUUGCCGCCCUAGUUUCCGUCAUACCGGUGUUAUGUUCCUUGAUUUUGCGUUCCUUACGCGGUUGGGUGAUUUAUGGGACCCCCGUGACCGUUCACUUUGAAUAAAACUCCUCCAGCAAGGCCCAACCUUGGUUUUACCAUUUGCCACCUAUACCUUUUUCCCCUGGAUUUUCGCGAGCCCGAGGGUCAUCUUUAUUUUAGCCCCCCNNNNNNNNNNNNNNNNNNNNNNNNNNNNNNNNNNNNNNNNNNNNNNNNNNNNNNNNNNNNNNNNNNNNNNNNNNNNNNNNNNNNNNNNNNNNNNNNNNNNNNNNNNNNNNNNNNNNNNNNNNNNNNNNNNNNNNNNNNNNNNNNNNNNNNNNNNNNNNNNNNNNNNNNNNNNNNNNNNNNNNNNNNNNNNNNNNNNNNNNNNNNNNNNNNNNNNNNNNNNNNNNNNNNNNNNNNNNNNNNNNNNNNNNNNNNNNNNNNNNNNNNNNNNNNNNNNNNNNNNNNNNNNNNNNNNNNNNNNNNNNNNNNNNNNNNNNNNNNNNNNNNNNNNNNNNNNNNNNNNNNNNNNNNNNNNNNNNNNNGGCCUGGUUUUACUCAUAGCUUGACUUAUCCGGAUGUGCCCUGAGAACGAGAUAUGUGCAGCUCCUAUCGGGAUUUGUCGGCACAUUCGGGCGGCUUUGCUGGUCUUGUUUUACCAUUGUCGAAAUGUCAUGCGAACCGGGAUUCCGAGACUGAUCGGGUCUUCCCGGGAGAAGGUUUAUCCUUCGUUGACCGUGAGAGCUUAUGAUGGGCUAAGUUGGGACACCCCUGCAGGGUAUUAUCUUUCGAAAGCCAUGCCCGCGGUUAUGAGGCAGAUGGGAAUUUGUUAAUGUCCGGUUGUAGAAAACCCGAAGUUGACCUUAAUUAAAAUACAUCAAUCGCGUGUGUAACCGUGAUGGUCUCUUCUCGGCGGAGUCCGGGAAGUGAACACGGUGUUGGAGUUAUGUUUGGCGUAGGUUGCUCUAGGAUCACUUCUUGAUCACUACUAGCUUCACGACCGUGCCUUGCUUCUCUUCUCGCUCUCUUUUGCGAAUGUAGCCACCAUAUAUGCUAGUCGCUUGCUGCAGCUCCACCUCACAAUUCUGUCCUACCUAUAAGCUUAAAUAGUCUUGAUCUCACGGGUGUGAGAUUGCUGAGUCCCCGUGGCUCACAGAUUCUACCAAAACAGAUGCAGGUACCGAUGAUACCAGCGCAAGUGGCGCAAUUGAGCUCAAGUGGGAGUUUGAUGAGGACCGUGAUCGUUACUAUGUUUCAUUUCCAGACGAUCAGUAGUGGAGCCCAGUUGGGGACGAUCGGGGAUCUGUGUGGCAUUUGGGGUAGUCUUCUUUUAUUUUGGUUCCGUAGUCGGACCUUGAGUGUAAUCUGAAUGAUGGAUGUUUAUUUAUGUAUUGUGUGAAGUGGCGACUGUAAGCCAACUAUGUAUCUCUUUCCCUUAUGUAUUACAUGGGUUGUGUGAAGAUUACCUCACUUGCGACAUUGCUUUCAAUGCGGUUAUGCCUCUAAGUCGUGCUUCGACACGUGGGAGAUAUAGCCGCAUCGAGGGCGUUACAAAAAGCGUCUUCAAGAUGCGCUUCUAUCCUUGGUGGGACCUUCGAGUUCCUUUAGGAUAGGGUCGCAUCUUGGGCGUGACAUGCGCUUCAUCUCUGGCUCGGCUGCGAGCACGGCCGGUCCCUUGCGCUUCACGUCCUUGGCCUUGGUCUUCUUGUCUUCUGGGUCUACAUCGGGGAUCUCGAGGAGGGAGAGGCGUCCCUCCUCAGCUCUCGCGCACUUGGUUGCCAUGUUGAACAUCUCCAGGGCCGUGCAUUGGUCUUCGUGUAUGGCGAGCUCCUCCUUCAUCUUGAUGUCACGGACGCCGUCGGUGAAUGCCGAGACGAUGGCUUCGUCCGACACCUUGGGAAUCUUUGAGAUGAACGAUGUUGAAGCGCUAGAUGUACUUCUGCAGGGUCUCUUCUGGUUGCUGCUUGACACAUCGCAGGUCACCCGUGGCCGGCGGGCGGUCGUGAGUGCCCUGGAAGUUGGUGAUGAAACGUUCUCGCAUCUCGUCCCAGGAGGAGACCGAUCCUACGGGCAGGUUCAGGAGCCAAGAGCGCGCGCCGUCCUUGAGGGCCAUGGAGAAACAGUUCGCCAUGACCUUCUCGUCGCCGCUGGCCGCCUCAAUGCUCAGCUCAUAGAGCUGCAGGAACUCAGCGAGGUCGGCGGCGCCGUCGUAGCGUGGAGGCAGGUCAGGCUUGAACUUCCCUGGACAGACGACGCUGCGCAACUCCGGAGUGAAUGCGCGGCACCCCGUUGUGGUCACGAGAGCCCGCCGUGGAGGUGGAGCCUGGUCUUGGCGUUCGCGCACCUUCACCACAGGCGGCGCACGGUCUAGAUGUGGCGCCGGUAGCGCGCGCGCAUAUUCUUGUGGCCGUUGGACCACCUGGUAGCUUGCUUCAUUGCGCGCGGGCGCCUGACACUGCGGAUCACGCCGAGGCGCCACCCGCCUUGGCUCGAUGAUGGCGUCUUGCCUUGGAGGCGGGGGAGGCGCCCCGUGAGCUACAUCUCCCGUAGCAGGCGACGGUUGAGGCAGUGAGCCAGCUGGUGCGGCAGAAUCCUGAGCGGCGGUGACAAGCUCGGCGAUACGGUCGAGCCAGUCCUUGUAGAGGUCGUCGACCUGGCAGUAGCACAGGAGCUCGCGUGCCAUGAGUAGAGCAGCCUGCGCGUUCGCCGGGCCACGACGAGCGUGAGAGGACGAAGCAGCUGGAGUCAGCGUCAGAGUGGCGGUGCACCCAUCGCGGCGCAUAGAUGGAUGCAGUGAAGAGGCUUGUUGCUCGUGGCCUGCGGGGCCCGUGGUGGCGUUCGCCACCGGCGAUGGGGGUCGGCGAGGGCAGCCGUCGCCCGCCAGCACUGUCUGAGCGACGCGGGUGGCAAGGGCGGCCCGGCGCUCAGCACGAGCUCGGCGCGCGUCAUCCAUGGAAGCGGUGGAGCGGUGGCGAGUCGAUCGACGGAAGAGAAGCUCCGACGCACCCCUACCUGGCGCACCAAAUGUCAGAUUUCGGGUUCCGCAAACCCUACUCUUGCUUUGUGGUGGAUUUGCCUCGAGGGGUUGAGGGUGAACUAGUAUAGUGGAGAACAACCUCAGGAGGUGUGUUCUUGGGCUCUAGUGAGCUGGUGAGGGUGGAGCGGAUGUCGUCCCAUCUCCCUCCUUUGGUGGUGGCUAGGUCCUAUUUAUAGUGGUCUUGGUCCUCUUCCCGAAUGGAGGCGGGAAGGGAUCCCACAAUGGCCAAUUUUAAAGGGAGACAACAAGUACAUCUUAUCCUGACUAAAGUGCUCUUCGCCUGCAAAAGCCUGUGGUCGUGACGCUGCGGUGGGCUCGACGAUGACCUCCGUCCUGCCUGGCGGUCUUGAUCUUGUUGCAUGGGAAUGGAAACCUUUGACUGCUUCCUCGGGACUCCGCACCUGCUGCUUGCCUCCUUUGCACGAAAGAGGACACUAGUACACUGCGCCCGCUGGCGCCCGCCUUGACGCNNNNNNNNNNNNNNNNNNNNNNNNNNNNNNNNNNNNNNNNNNNNNNNNNNNNNNNNNNNNNNNNNNNNNNNNNNNNNNNNNNNNNNNNNNNNNNNNNNNNNNNNNNNNNNNNNNNNNNNNNNNNNNNNNNNNNNNNNNNNNNNNNNNNNNNNNNNNNNNNNNNNNNNNNNNNNNNNNNNNNNNNNNNNNNNNNNNCGAUCGUCAUUGCUCACGUCACCCGAACCUCGCAAGGUGAGUCUUGCAUAGAAAUCUCCGCUCCUCAGGAGCCAGCAUGAGGAGGCUGAUCCCCUUGAAGGUCUUGGUGCCGUCCGCUUCGCGAGGCUUGGCCCCUCGUGAGGGUCUUGGGUUGUCGAUGUCGAAACUGGGCCGCACCAGGUCGUCGGUGGAGCCACGCCAUGGGCCGUAGGCAGGCAAGUCUGGGUACCCCCGUAUCCAAAACACCGACACUGACCCGACGUUAUUUUCUGUUACCCAGAGGUUGUUGUCCCAUUGGGAGCAGGGGUGAGACCUCCGUGAGAAAGAAAGAAGAAGAACAAUAAGAGAAACAGAUCUCGAUCCUCGAUCUGCAAGCUCACGGGCUACACUGGUGGCCACUACGCCAACUUCAGCUUUGUGUAUAAUACAAGGGCGCGACCUCGUUGAGGGUAAAAGACCCAGUUUUGCAUUGAUUUUUCCGUGUUUUUGUUUCUGUUUUGUCUUUCUUUUUUCAUUUGUUUCUCUCUGUUUCUUUCUUUGUAUUUGCCAUCUUUUUACUUUCUUUCUUGUUCUUAUGUUUUAGUCAGAUUACUCCUUUUUUCUUCCUUUUUCGUCUUCUUCUCUUUUUUGUUUUCUUUUCUUUUUUGUUCACCUGUUUUUUCGUUUUCAUUUGGUUUUUCUUUGUUUCUUUCAUUGUUUUUAUCAUUUUUGGGUUUUCUUGGUUUGCAUUCUACAUUUUUCGUAUAUGUCAUGAAGAUUUUUCUAAUGCACGUUAAUACUUUUUAAUAUGACGUUAUUAUUAUCUAGGACAUGGUUAAUAAUUUUUCUAGUCAUAUUUAAAUACUUUAUAAAUGCUGGAUUUACAUUUUCUAAUAAUAGUUAAUAUUUUUAAUACACAUUUUAAAACAUUUUCAAAUGCUUGAUUAAAAAAUUCAAAAACAAGAUUAACAUUUUUAAUAAAAGGUCAAUAUUUUACCUAUACCCUCUUCACAAGAAUGCAAAUGCUUCAGUAACACUUGUCAAAUACAAGAUUAACAUUUUUUAAUACACGCUCAACAUUUUUUCUAUACACACUUUUAAAAAAAAUUCAAUGCUUGUUAACAUCUUUCGAAUACAAGAUUAACAUUUUUUAAUACAUAGUCAAAAAAAUUCCUACAAACUCUUUUAAACAUUUUCGACUGCAAGAUUAACAUUUUUCUGAAUGCAUGGUAAAAAAAAUUGUAUCCACAUUUAAAAUUUUCAAAUGCUUGAUUAAACAUUUUUAUAUACUUCUCCAACAUUUUUAAAAUUUCUUGAUUAAUAUUUUCAUAUAAAAUGAUCAAAAGGUUACAUCAUUUUUUAAUACAUGGUCAACAUUUUUUCUAUAUAAAUUCAACAUUUUUAAGCACUUGAUUAACAUUUUCCAAAUACUUGUUUAAAAUAUUCUAAAUACAUGAUCAACUUUUUUCACACCCAUUGUACAUUUUUUAAUACAUUGUUCGUAUAUGUGAUUAACAUUUUUUCAUACACAUUUAACAUUUUUGAAAUGCACUAUUGACAUUUUUUAGAACAUUUCUGAAAAAUAUAUUUUGUAGUAUAUAUAUUUAGAAUUUUUGGAGUGUAAACAAAAGUAAGAAAAUAAAUCAGAAAAAGAAAGCAAAAGGUCAACAAAAAAAAGACGAAAGCCAAUUAUUUGUUCAUGCCCUGGAAUUGGUCAUGCCAAUUAUUUGUUAGGGCAAGAUUGAGCUCAAUCCGAACGGGAGCGCCUAUACAGCGCGAUACUCGCCNNNNNNNNNNNNNNNNNNNNNNNNNNNNNNNNNNNNNNNNNNNNNNNNNNNNNNNNNNNNNNNNNNNNNNNNNNNNNNNNNNNNNNNNNNNNNNNNNNNNNNNNNNNNNNNNNNNNNNNNNNNNNNNNNNNNNNNNNNNNNNNNNNNNNNNNNNNNNNNNNNNNNNNNNNNNNNNNNNNNNNNNNNNNNNNNNNNNNNNNNNNNNNNNNNNNNNNNNNNNNNNNNNNNNNNNNNNNNNNNNNNNNNNNNNNNNNNNNNNNNNNNNNNNNNNNNNNNNNNNNUUUCAGCUUAAUUUCAGUUUCAAAAAAAUAGGAUUUCAGAAAAAGUUAGAAGUUGUCCAAUUAUUUGUGAAUUCAAAAGGUUGUUCCCUAUUUGAAAUUUCUUCAGGAAAUGAUAAAUUCUCAAGAAUUCAAAAAAUGUUCACAAUUUCGAAAAUAAUGUUCAUGUGCAAAAAAUAUUUAUAAAUUUCUAGAAAAUGUUCACCAUAUUCAAAAAAUGAGCAGGAAUUUUGAAAAAUGUUCCCCAAAUUCACAAAAUGUUCGCAAUUUCAAGAACUAUGAAGGAACUAAAAAAUGUUCGUCAAAAACAAAAAAAGCUCGGAAUUUCAAAAAAUGUUCAGAAAUUUCAGAAAAUAUUCGCCAUUUACAGAAAAAUUUACACAAUUUCAAGGAUUGUUCGUGAUUUUGAAAAAAAAAACCAUGAUUAUAUAAAACAUUUGACAGGUUUAAAAACUGUUCAUGAUUUCAUAAAAUUGUUUACUUUUUCAAAACAAUAUUCACGAAUUUGUAAAAAAAUAUUCAGCAAUUUGAAGAAUGUUCAUAAUUUCGAAAAAAAAUCGCAAUUUUAAGGAAGUUUGUUCGUAAAAUUGAUACAUGGCCGAACUUUUUUCAGAAAAGGUGAAAAUAAGGAAAAAGUAAAAAAAACAGAACAUUAAAGAAAAGAAAAAAUAAAAGAGUUAAUUGGAAAAGUUAAACAGAAAAAGGAAAUAAAAAACGGAAGAAAUAAACAAGAAAAAACCGGUUCUGGGAAGGUUCUAGAACCUUCCCAAAACCGGUGGGGAGGAAUCCCUAUAUGGGCCGGUCCAACGGACGCUGGGGGAGGGGAAGAGACCUCCUAUAAUCCGCACUCUGUGGGAAAGUGUCGUGGCUUCGCACAGGCGGCCUCCGGCUGGGCUGGCCCAGUACCGCCAGCGGACUUGUAUUGUAGCUCAAAAAAAACGACUUUGCAUGAAAUCGAACCAGGGAUCUCGUGCUGCAAAAUAGAAUUUGCGACCAGCUGAGCUAGCGAUCUUUUCUAGUAAGAUAGCAGCGUCAAUCUUUAAGAACCAACACACAGGGCAGUUCCGAAUUAUUUUUGUAAUUUCGAAUUCAUUUUUUUAACAAAAAAUGAGUAUUUUCUGACACGCGAAUACCUUUCAAAUUUCAGAAUGGUUUUUUAUAAACAGAAAUGUUUAAGAAAAUAAUUGACAUUUUUCGUAAUCAGGAACAAUUUUUUAAACGAGAAUUUUUUUUCAAAUUUCAAAAUAAAACUGGGGAAAUACAAACAUUUUAAACUCCUGACAAAAUAUGCAAAACAUGAACUUUUUUAUUGAAAUUUCUGAACAAUUUUUGACAAGGGAGUUUUUUUUUGAAACUUCAGAAAACGAAAACAUGAACAUUUUUUGAAACCGGAACAUUUUUUGAAAACUUGUGAAAUUUUGGAGCAGAAAUUAUUCCGAACUUUUUUUGUGAGAACACAAACAAUUUUUUGAAUAAGUGAAAUUUUUUUGAAAAAUGUAUGCGAACAUUGUUUUUGGAAAAAAUGAUCGUCUUGGAAUUUUUAUCAUUUUUAGAAGCAAGAACAUUUUUUGAAAGUCACGAACAUUUUUUUAACUCCCGAACAUUUUUUGAAAAUUUUGAACAAAAGCAUUCGCAACAUUUUAACCAAAACAAGAACAUUUUUUGAAAAUAAUGAACUUUUUCGAAUUUAUGAACAAUUUUUUAAAACGACUAUUUUUUAAAUUUUGAACAUUUUUAAAGGCAUGAACAUUUUCAAAAUUUAAGAGCAAUUUUGGAACAUGAACUUAGUUUAAAAAAGAUAAAAUAACCUUGAAAAGGAAAAAAUAAAAAUAAUAGAAAAAAAAGAAUAAAAGAAUAGAAAAAGAGGAAAAAGAAACAAAAACUAAAAAAAGAAAACAGAAAAACCAGCAAAAAAACAAAAAACCCGGUGUGGGGAACCUUCUAGAAGGUUCCCAAAACCGGCUGGCUGUUGCAAUUGUACACUCAACUGGGCCGACCCAUCACAUCGCUGCUCAGUCGCUCGCGUAUGCGAAGCGCCGGCAGUUUGACGCAAAGAGCUUCAAAUAGGAUUUCCCGAAGGGGAACGCGCCAAGGGAACUCCUAUUGGACACUCGCUGCGGCAAGCAGUCGGCAUUUCACACACGAGCAGCUUGGCUGGGCCGGCCCAUAUUGCGGGUGCGGCACAUUCGUAGGUUAAAAAUCGCGAAAAAGGAAAAAGGGUACUGGAAUCGAACCCAAGACUUCCUAUUGCUAAGCGCGAUGAGCUAGCCGCCCCAACUAGCUACUUCUUAUGGUAAAUUGGCAGCGCGAACCUAAAGAAAUUAACGGUAGCGAGAAAACAUAAAAUCUGAAUACGCAAAAUUACGAUGAACCAAGGUGUGAGCGAGGCACCUCUCAAUACAACUAGGUAGUCAAAAAAGGUAGCCCAACAAAUAUGAACUAUAAACCGCGACAAAGGCUAUAAUUAAAAAAAUUCAAACGUGAAUUCUUUUGGCAAAAAGUAAAUAUUUUCUGAAACGCACCCAUUUUAUAAUUUGUGAACAAAAUUUUAAAAAUUAGAACAUUGUAUGAAACCGAAAACAUGUUUUUGGAAUAAAAAAGGAAGAAAACUGAAAUUGCGAACAUUUUGUUUAAAUGCGACCACUUCAAAAUUUGUGAACAAUAAUUUUAAAAUUCGAACAUUUUCGUAAUUUCAUACGAGAACAUUUUUCAAAUUUGCGAACACUUUUUUGAAAAACAGAAUAGAAUUGAAAACCCAAACAUUUCGAAUUUCCCAAAACAUCUUUCGAAGACAUGAACAUUUUUGGAAUUUGUGAACAAAUUAUUUAAAGCACGAACGAUUUUGAAUCUUGAGAACAAAUUUGGAAGCGCCAACUAUUUUUUCAACCACGGACAUUUUUUGAAUCUUGAGAACAAAUUUUGAAAUGGAAAACAAUUUUGAAAUAUUCCGAACAAAUUUGGAAGCGCGAACAAUUUUUUAAAGCACGAACAUUUUUUCAAUCUUGAGAACAAAUUUUGAAACGAAGAACAAUUUUGAAAAAUCCCAAACAAAUUUGGAAGCGCGAACAUUUUCUUUAAAAAGUGAACAAAAUAUUGAAAUCUGCUACAUUUUUUGAAUUUCGAAAGUUUUGAACUUUUCUGUGUAACGAGAACAUUUUUUGAAUUUUGAGAACAUUUUUUCAAAAGCUGAACAUUUUCUGAAAACAUGAACAAAAUUUCAAAUUUUCGAUCUUUUUGAAGAAAAAAGAGAAGAAAAGAAAAAGAAAUAACAAAGAAAAUCCUUUUUUUGUAAAACUGCAAACAUGUUCUGAAAAAGAAAAAGAAACUUGAAAAAUAAAAGGUAACAAAAAAGAAAAAAUGAAAAAGAAACAGAAAACGAAAAAACAAUCAGGAAAGUGUAAAAAAAUGGAAAACCAAUAAAAGAAAAAAAACGGUUCAUGGAACCUUCUAGAAGGUUCAUAAAACCGGAGUGGGCAGUUUGUUUGCUAUGUACGUAAGUGGGCCGGUCCAAAAGCAUCGCUCGGUCGCUCGCUGUGUGCGAACCGCCGGCAGUUUGCCGCAAUGAGCGGCCAAUAGGAUUUUCUACGCGCCAACUCGCUAGCGAGCGACCUAUGCGCCAUAAAGGGAUCGCCAAUCCAAACAGCCCAGUUGCCGCGCCAUGGGCGCCAUCAAGCUCAGCUGGCACGCACUAUGGGCCGGCCCAGUUAACCUCAGCUCGCUCGUUUAAUUCCAAACUUCUAGGUCGGUGGCUCACCUGGUUCGACCGGUUGACCAAUAACUUAUUGACGGUUGAAGAGUCAAACCGUUAACCAUUCACUUUUUAAAAAGUUCAAAUUUUUAAGAAACAGAAAUAAAUAUGUUAGCAAAAUUAACAAAAAUCAUAAAUUUCAAAAAGAACGUGCCUUUGAAAAUUCAUGAUUUGUCUUUUUAAAAUCCAUGAAAUAUGGGGAAAAUGUUCACAAUUUUGAAAUAAAAUCAUUAAUUCGAAAAAUUUCAUGAAAUUUGGGGAAAAAAGUUCGUGAAUUUGACUACAAGUGACACGGAUUUGGGAAAAAAAAUCACGCAUUUAAAAAAAUCAAUUUUGAAUUAAAAUUUUCAUUUAUUAGAAUAAAGUUCACUGGAUUUUGAAAAAAAAGUCACGGAUUUGAAAGAAGUUCAUCGACUUUGAUAAAAGAAUUCACAAAUUUGAAAAACAUUCAUCAAUUUUGAAAAAGUGCCACGAAUUUGGAAAAAAUGUGAACAAAUAAAGUUAACGAAUUUGAAAAAAGAUCACCUAAUUUUGAAAAAAGGUUCGCGGAUUUGUGAAAAGUAUGUUGAUUGUGAUAAAAAUAAAUUUCAAAAAUUUGAAUGAAGUUAAUCAAUUUGAUAAAGUUCCCAAUUUGAAUAAAGUUCCAAAUUUUAUUAUUUUUCUAUGCAUCUUAGAAAAUAAAAAGAAAAAAGAAAAAAGAAAAAAGUAAACAAAAAAUUAACAACCCGAGCGAAAAAAACAGAUGAAAAAUUGGACAAACAAGAAAAGUCUAGAAGGCGCAGAAUAAGAAGCAACAGAAGUAUUAGAAAGCAUAGUGUGUGAGCCGUCCGAGUUGGUUACUGAAUUUGGAAGAAGACGGUGAGGUUCUAAGUUUGAACCUCACGACCCGCGUGACCUUUUGAAGGUUGAAAAAGAAGAAAAAUGGGCCGAGCCCAGGACACAGAGGGUGUACGCCGGUUUAUUCAUGUGCCUUAAAGUGGAGCAGGGGAAGGGAAUGCUCUUUUGCUGCUGACUAUCUUGUAUGGGCUUCUUCGAUCCCGACAGGUGGGGCACAAUCAGGGCAAGUUUGAUGAGGAUAAUGGUAUGUCAGAGGAUGAUAUCGAUCCAGGUGCGGCGACCAAGUGUAACGAGCUUAAAAAAAUUCAGAACGCCGCACCCCAUGCCUAGUCAGGAUCCACCUUGUGAUGCUACCGAUGCAUCGAACUCCCCGACAUAUUUUAAAUGUUCAGAACUUUUUUAAAUAAAAUAGCACAUUUACACAAAAUAAAUGUAUGUUGUCAUAAAAUUUCAAAUUAAAAUUUUAAAAUAGUGUAUGUUGUCUCAAAAACUCAAACUAAAAUUCAAAACAUAGCUCAAAAAACAAAAUGACAAAUUUGACAAUAAAUAGUACACCCCUCAACUCUAGCCCUAGUCUAAUUUACACCCCCAACUCCAAUAUCAUCUAGUUUACACCCCACAACUCUCAAAACCAGCUAGAAUUCAACCCUCCCCUCCCUGUUGACCGGUUUUGACCUGUUGACUGGGUGAACAGUAAAUUUAAAAGGAAUAAAAAAUUUAAAGAAAACAUGUUUAACCGAGUGAACAGUAAAUUCACAAGGAUAUAAAUAAAAAAUUCAAAAAAUAAAUUUGUUUUUUUAUUUUUUAUUUUGUUUGGUGAACAGUAGAUUCAGAAAAAUAAUAAAAAACAAAAAAAGACAAAUGUGACGUCUGUGAAACAGUUAACAAUACAUACUGUUCGGGACAAUCUUUUUUGUUGAGAGACCACUCAAAUAUCCAAACAAGCUGAAAAAUCGGCGCGGACAUCACGCAUUGAAAAUCAUCCAUGCAAAAAUAAUUCCGUUUUUUUUGAAAAAUUUAGUAUUUUUUUGAAUUUACUAUUCAGCCGGUAAAAAAUCAAAAAUGUUUGUUGAAUUUUAUUUCCAACUUUUUUAAAUUUACUGUUCACCCAUCGACAAACAAAAUUAUUUUUUGAUUAUUUUAGUUAUUGUUCAGCCAGUCAACGGGUCAAAUCUGGUCAACUGUGUCAAAACUGGUCAAUAUGGAGGCGAGGUUGAAUUUUGGCCGGUUUUGAGAGUUAGGGGGUGUAAACUAGACGGUAUUGAACUUGGGGGUGUAUAUUAGACUAGGUCUAGAGUUAAGGGGUGUAAUAUGCACUUCUCUCCUUUAGAUUUGACCCCUUGUCACAUUGAUGUCUAAUUAAUCACCUUUGUAUCUCGAGCAGUGUUUUGAAUUUUGAUAUAAAAUCUUAUGAUAAUAUACAUCGAUGUUGCAUCAAUAUGCUAGAUUUUAGAAGAAAAGAAACCCUCGGGUUUUCGGGGCAUUGCAUUCUCACCCAUCUCUUCAUACUCAAGCGACGUUCUCUCUUCUACUUCGUUGACUCUCGCUUUCGCGGUUGCCUCUCUAAGGCGGACACUAUCCUAUCAAUGCAUUUUGGCAUCCCACACCUUUAUUUUUUUGCGAGAAACUUUCAGUCUAUUCAUUUUCAAUCAUGGUGGUUCAAAGAAUAACAGUGGUAAUAAAAACUUAGCCCCCUUUCGUACAACCUGUUCUCUCUUUGUGAAAGGCCUCUGAUUUCAUGAUCUAAUUUGAAGAACUGGCUUAAGAUCGUAGCUCUAGUUGAAAAAAUCCCCCACUCAAGUUAGGCCCUGGAAAACCAACCAAAGAAUGGAAGGAAUGCGCGAUGGAGGCCCUCGUAAAUUAUAAUUUGAACUAUAGCCAGGGCAAAUCUCUUAAUAUCGGAGGUUGGUUUCUAGGCAGGUGCAUAGGAGCCGUCAAAGGAAAGGCGAGAAGCCUUGGCUUUGAUGCACCCCGAUUUAUACAAAAAGGAUCAGAGGUCAAAUUAGUUAACGAAUUAUGAUAUUUGUGAAACAUACAUAAUGUGCUACCCCUCCGUUCCAUAAUGUAAGACUUUUUUUGAUACUACAAUAGUCAAAAAAAUAUGUUACAUUAUGAAACGGAGGGAGUAGAUUUUUAAACAAGGGAACUUCAAUGAAGCCAGAUUCUAUUUUUUAAACAAGGAAUUUCAAUGAAGCCAGAUUCUAUUUUUGCAAAUGCUGCAGCGACUUCUUUGACAGGAAUUCAUCAAUAAAAAAAGUGGAAGAGCAUGAAGCUUCAUUCCCUUGCAAGCUGAUAUGGCGCCUGGCAUUCCACAUUCAAAACAAGCAAUCUCGGGCCGCAGCUUCUAAGAAUCUCAGCUAGCAGGUUUUGCAGCGACCCUCCCCGAGAGGAUAACUAAGGGCGUGUUUGGUUGCCCGCAUAAGAUCCAACCAGGCCCGCGCGUGAAGGAUUCGGCCUGUUUGGUAGCCUGCAUACAUUAUUGGGCCUACAUCGCAUGCUUCUUAAAGCAUCUCAGGGCCUGGCUCACUGAAAACGCACGAAUCGGCAGUUUCUCUAGGGACAGGCCCGAGCGGUGCACGUGGGCGGGCGCGGCUGCACGCGCGCGGCCACGCUCGAGAAGCCGCGUUGCUUCCCGAAGCACCGGCAGUUAUUAGCCUCACCGCCCCUCACCGCUCCCUCUCCCCACUCUUCCCCACUCUUCCAACUCUCACCGGCGGCGGCGGAUUGGAACAGAGGAAGAAGACCACCGGACUCCAUCACCAGCGACGGCGGAUCAGAGCAGAGGAAGAAGACCACCAGACUCCAUCAAUGGUGGUAAGCACUUCUCUCUCUUCGACAUGAACACUUGAUUCGAUCCACGGCGAUAGAUUUGAUCCACGGCGGACGAGAAUGGGGAACAGAGGUAGCUAAGCAUAGGGGUAAUUCAUACUAGUUCAUAGCAGUUCAUACGAGUUCAUACAUAGCAGUUCAUACAUGCAAGAUCGGUAGAUUUCGCGAUUGGGGGAUAGGGGAAUAGGGGGAAAGGGGGUACAGAACGGACACCGGCUGACCGUGGCGGCCGUCACCGGCGUGCGGAGCGGCUGGUCGAGCCGCUGGCCUUCAUCUUCUUAUUCAUCGCCGUGCGGUCCGGCGGGUCAUCCUCGGCGGAGUCGAGGUCGGUCUGCCAAGUAGGACGGACUGGCUUCGGUGCCCUAACCGCCUCUUCUUCCUCCUCCUUAGACUCCCCGCCAAUGACCGCCGACGGCGCGAUACCCGUCCCCAGUACACUGCGGCACGGCGGUCAUUAGGAGCCCAGUAGGUCUUGUACUUGCACCACUUCUUCCUCUGUUUAGGGUCGUCGGAGACGGCCUGAUUCAUGGCCCAGCAAAUGAUGUCAACUGCCAUCGCACCCUUCGCUGGGUCAGGAAUCAGUGUCUUCAGCUCAUCUUUAGUGGCCUUCAUGAGCACGACAUUGGAUUCGUUCUGCAUGUCCAGCAUGGAGCCGAAGUUCGAGCACACCUCCAUGGUGUUCUCGAACUUGGUCCGAUCACCAGCCGUCCACCCGAGAAAGAAGGCCCUCCAGCCAAUACCCCAAGGGAAGGGGUUGCCGUUGGAGCUGGAGCUAGAGCUCAUGGCGAUAGGGAGGAGGAAGGUUGACAGUGAGAGAAGAGAGGGGGUGGGUAAAUAGUGGUGGGUAGGGUGAGUAAAUAUAGGGGGUGGAGAGGAGGAGAAGAGUGACAGUCAUGUCGUUUUAACUACAAGCUCUUGAAUUAGCCAUGAACUCUGUGCAAUGCCUGAUUCCAUGACUUGUGUGCAGAUCGAGGAUAGCAAUGAGAUGGGCACGGAGGUACUCUCGGCCGUUGAUAGCAAGGGCAAGCAGCCCCUUCACCCAAUGCCUGACGAGGUUGAGCUACCGCCCACCACCGAGGAAGACCCGAAAACGCGUGAGGGUGGCGACGACGAGGGCAUGGAGGAGCCCCUAGCAACAAGUGCCGCAACUACGGCCACUACCAUCAAGAGGAUGACCCAACUCACUUCCGCAAGGUCAUCCUUGCACCGAAGCUUGAGUGCAUCCCCAUGCCCCUGGACUUCACCAAGCACUUCGUCGCGGUGCCGACGGAGUUCAAGCUCAGGAAGAACACCGACUGCUCCUGGAAGGUAACGGUCAAGCUGAUGAACGGCAGGGUGACCCUAGAUCAGGGUUGGGCCACCUACGCAGCCGUUCAUCAGAUCAACAUCGGCUACAUGGUGAUGUUCAAGCUCCUCACUCCCGACACCCUCAAGGUCAUCAUCUUCGACGACGAUAGCAUUGAGGUCAUCAACAAGUGCGGGAAGCACAACGAAGCCUUCGCCGCCAAGGAGUAGGGCCGGGGCACCUUCUUUUUAAUUACUAUCGAGUCUGCUUUGAACUGUUUAUGGUUUAUGCGUUGAAAUGUUAUAUCUGUGGUACUGCUUAUAUCUGAAUUAUGCUAGUUGAUGCUCUGUUUAUACUCUGUUGUGCUUAUGAUGUGUGAUGCCAAAGUGUGGUGGUAACCUCACCAACUAGCCAAAUAGAUUACCACACAUCAGGCCUUGCAUAUAAUAAAACACCAUGCCUUGGGUUUGUGGACUAACAUGCAGGCAACCAAACACCAGGCAGUGUGGUUCAGCCCAUGCAGGUAAGAGGGCAUGCAGGCAACCAAACAACAUGCAUAUGGUGCAUUUGAGGCUGCAUUUGCAUAGCCAGGUUGGAUGGAGAAAUUUAUGCAAUGCGGGUACUGUAGCACACGGCAACCAAACACGCCUUAGGAAGCUCACUCUAAUUAGACCAGCUGCAAUACGUUGGAUGUUAGGAUCCUCCUAGCAUGUACACGUACAGAGGCUGCCCCUUGGACCAGCCCAUGGACUUGGCCCUCGGUGCAGCUACUUAAGCAUGGUGUACAGAAGGAGAGGGUAUCCAGUGGAUCACGAACGAACCGACGACGGCUCUUUCCUCCUACCUUCUUCCCCCUGUUGCAAGCUUCCUCUGUUCUUCUCAUCCAUUGUGUAAUUCCUCUGUAAUCACUACUCUAUAUUGCUACUCGUGAGAGAGAUCGAUCUAUACAAGCUAGCUACCAUCACCUCUCUUACAUCUGGUAUCAGAGACCAGCCACCACUCCUUCCCUAUGCGUUUCGCCAAGCUCGUCGGCAUCGGGCAGCCAUGGAUCCAUGGAUGCAGGCGUAUCUCGAGCGGAUCGACACCAUGCUCGAUGCCUACACAGACGCCACCAGGUCCCUCACCGAGAAAGUGGACGCUCUGGUCGUCGUCUGGCGGCCAGACCUGGAGAAGAGGUCCUCCCACACCGCCGUCGUCCACGGUCCACCGGCGCCGACCUCGGCGCUCGAGACCACUACUGAGGCGUCUGAACCCGUCCCUAACAUCUACUACUCCACCACCAAGGCCCAGGAGAUCCCCACGGUCGCCCAUGAUGCAACUCCGAUAUGCAUUCCGAUGGUGCCUGUCACCUGUUCGACGGAUUGCCCGACCCAGAUCGACGCCAUCGACAGCGCCGACGAAGUCCAUGACGCCGCCAGCGUCGCAACAGAGGUUCGCAACACUACAACCGCACUCGGCCCCGAGCUCGCGGUCGACCUCUGCAACACCUGUGGUCACUAUGGCAAGUUCGACGGCCUCAACAUCCCCGUGAAGGCCAGCAUCAGCCCGCCGCCCCACGUCCAGGAUGCAUUCCCAAAUUCCACAAUCAGCAAUUGUCGUGCCGAUGUUGCCGGGACGGACGAGUACGCACUCGUGGAGGCCACUCCAGACGUCGCCAUUGAGCUUGCCAUCCUCCCAGGCGUCUCCUCCUUCAUGAACAAACUAUUCUGGAAGCAUGACAUGGACGUCUCGCCGCCCACAAGGCACAAAGGGCUGCCAAUACGGCCGACACCAUGGCCGUCAUUUUUGGUGCAUCAUAGUGCAAAGGGGAACGAGAUUCGACCCACUCCGUGGCUAUCGUUUUCUUGCUCUCAUGAAGGUAUGACUCUGAAUCAUGAAACUCUGCUGCCUCAUGUUACAUGUGUGAUGAAGAAAUUACUUGCUAGAGGAUGCACUGAUUUCACACUCGGAAAGACUGGUUUACCCAGAUUUCACGUUGAUAAUUCCGCGUAUAGUUCUAAGCAAGUUGGUGAUCUUUUGGUGCACCGACCGCUUGUGAUACUGAAGCAUAGGGGCUGCCUAAAACCUUUGAGCAGCAAGACUGAAGUACCUUGUUGGUGUGAUCACUUCAUCAGCAGAAGUCCACAAAUAUCCCAGGCAAUGCAUUGCCAACUAGUAAAUGAGCUGAAACCUUCUUGGCUGCUGAAUUAUUUAUCUGUUGUCCUGAAUUCUUUCUCAACAUUCUCAAGAUAUUUGCCAAGGGUAGAGCAGGUGCCCAGUAUUUUUCUGAAGGUUGUUUCCAGGAUCCGUAUGGUGCCAAUAGAUAUUCUUAUUCUGAGCAAUCGGUUAAUCCUAUUACCUCUCUCAUGGUUGUCCACUGUUGUGGCCUGAUUCCCGUGGAGGAGCACUUCAAUUGUGUGCAAAAUACCGAGUUGCAGUUUUCCUAUUUACUAGCUGGAAGAACAUAUACUGAUAAAUGGUUAAGUCAAAAAGGUUCCGAGGGAAUUGAGUGCUUGGAUAUCUUGUUGAUCAGUCUACAGUGUAUUGACGACCGCCUAGCAGAAAUUAUGUUCGAUGAGAUUGCGCUGCAGCUUGCUACACAUUGCAAGGAAUUUGGCAUUGCAGGAGAGGUGUUGAACAGCUAUGUUUCUCCUGUUGCUUCAGUGGAGCACCCACCCUGUACUUUUGGGCAGCUUAUCCUAUUUGUGUCAAUGCACUGGAACAAUUCAUGUCGGAAGGGAUUCAAAAGAAGUGGUCAUACUGCAAUCAGCUUACACGUACAAGAGUAAUUCACUAGUGUGUGAAACUGCUAGUUCAGUUAAAGGGUUGACUGGAUUGAAAUCUGAGGAUGUCGGGUCUAACUCAAUAACAUUCUCAAGGAGGGAGGGGUGUCAUCGCUGUCGCAGCCCGCUUCGCGCAAAGCUCCAUCGACCACAAGUACUACAUUGACUUUAACAAUGACUACUUCCUCGACAGUUCCUUCGGUGGGAUCGCAAUCGUCCAUAACUACUACUCCCAUGUUGUUAAAGCCAUCUCUGCCUUUAGCUGCCGCUACGACUUUGAGCCAGUCAAGGACCAUCGAGUGCAAUGGGACCCGGGCGAUUUUCGGUGGCACCGGCUUGGGGUCAAGCCGGAUUUCAAGGAGGGAGGGAUGUUAGGAGCCUCCUAGCCUGUACACGUACAAGGGCUGCCCCUUGGACCAGCCCAUGGACUUGGCCCUCGGUGCAGCUACUUAAGCGUGGUGUACAGAAGGAGAGGGUAUCCAGUGGAUCACGAACGAACCGACGACGGCUCUUUCCUCCUACCUUCUUCCCCCUGUUGCAAGCUUCCUCUGUUCUUCUCCUCCAUUGUGUAAUUCCUCUGUAAUCACUACUCUAUAUUGCUACUCGUGAGAGAGAUCGAUCUAUACAAGCUAGCUACCAUCACCUCUCUUACAUCUGGUAUCAGAGACCAGCCACCACUCCUUCCCUAUGCGUUUCGCCAAGCUCGUCGGCAUCGGGCAGCCAUGGAUCCAUGGAUGCAGGCGUAUCUCGAGCGGAUCGACACCAUGCUCGACGCCUACAUCGACGCCACCAGGUCCCUCACCGAGAAAGUGGAUGCCCUGGUCGUCGCCUGGCGGCCAGACCUGGAGAAGAGGUCCUCCCACACCACCGUCGUCCACGGUCCACCAGCGCCGACCUCGGCGCUCGAGACCACUACUGAGGCAUCCGAACCCGUCCCUAACAUCUACUACUCUACCACCAAGGCGCAGGAGAACCCCACGGUCGCCCAUGAUGCAACUCCGAUAUGCAUUCCGAUGGUGCCUGUCACCUGUUCGACGGAUUGCUCGACCCAGGUCGACGCCAUCGAGAGCGCCGACGAAGUCCAUGACGCCACCACCGUCGCAAUGGAGCUUCACAACACUACAACUGCACUCGGCCCCGAGCUUGCGGUCGACCUCUGCAACACCAUGGCGACCACCAAGGUAGCCACCUGUGGUCACUACGGCAAGUUCGACGGCCUCAACAUCCCCGUGAAGGCCAGCAUCAGCCCGCCGCCCCACGUCCAGGAUGCAUUUCCAAAUUAUUCCACAAUCAGCAACUCCCGCGCCGAUGUUGCCGGGACGGAUGAGUACGCACUCGUGGAGGCCACUGCAGACGUCACCAUUGAGCUUGCCAUCCUCCCAGGCGUCUCCUCCUUCAUGAACAAGCUAUUCCGGAAGCAUGACAUGGACGUCUCGCCGCCCGCAAGGCACAAAGGGCUGCCAAUACGGCCGACACCAUGGCCGUCAUUUCUGGUGCAUCAUACUGCAAAGGGGAAUGAGAUUCGACCCACUCCGUGGCCAUCGUUUUCUUGCUCUCAUGAAGGUAUGACUCUGAAUCAUGAAACUCUGCUGCCUCAUGUUACAUGUGUGAUGAAGAAAUUACUUGCUAGAGGAUGUAGUGAUUUCACACUCGGAAAGACUGGUUUACCCAGAUUUCACGUUGAUAAUUCCGCGUAUAGUUCUAAGCAAGUUGGUGAUCUUUUGGUGCGCCGACCGCUUGUGAGACUUAAGCAUAGGGGCUGCCUAAAACCUUUGAGCAGCAACACUGAAGUACCUUGUUGGUUUGAUUACUUCAUCAGCAGAAGUCCACAAUACCCCAGGCAAUGUAUUGCCAACUAGAAAAGGAGCUGAAACCUUCUUGGCUGCUGAAUUAUUUAUCUGUUGUCCUGAAUUCUUUCUCAACAUUCUCAGGAUAUUUGCCAAGGGUAGAGCAGGUGCCCAAUAUUUUUCUGAAGGUUGUUUGCAGGAUCCGUAUGGUGCCAAUAGAUAUUCUUAUUCUGAGCCAACCGGUUAACCCUAUUACCUCUCUCAUGGUUGUCCACUGAUGUGACCUGAUUCCCGUGGAGGAGCACUUCAAUUGUGUGCAAAAUACCGAGUUGCAGUUUUGCUAUUCACUGGCUGGAAGAACAUAUACUGAUAAACGGUUAAGUCAAAAUGGUUCCGAGGGAAUUGAGUGCUUGGAUAUCUUGUUGAUCAGUCUACAAUGUAUUGACGACCGCCUAGCAGAAAUUAUGUUCGAUGAGAUUGCGCUGCAGGUUGCUAUACAUUGCAAGGAAUUUGGCAUUGCGGGAGAGGUGUUGGGCAGCUAUGUUUUUCCUAUUGCUUCAGUGGAGCACCCACCCUGUACUUUUGGGCAGCUUAUCCUAUUUGUGUCAAUGCACUGGAACAAUUCAUGUCGGAAGGGAUUCAAAAGAAGUGGUCAUACUGCAAUCAGCUUACUCAUUGGCAAUGCAUGGCGACGGUGUUCCAAUCUCCUUGAAAAUUGCAUAAUGAUCCUCCGAGGUCUAUUAUGGUGCUUGUGGUUUGUGAGAGAGUACAAUGAAGAUUGUUGUUUCACUAAGCAGCCAUUACAUGAUGGUAAACAGGCUUUCGACACUAUGUGCAUGUUCUAUUAGUACGGCUCUUGUACUACACCUAUCUUGCGACAAUGGAUGCACAUCUAUUUCAGAGCAUGCAGAGAAUGGGUUCCCUGAGCACAGAAAGUUCGAGCAUUAUUUUUCUUCAGUCAAUGCAACUUCAGCCAUAUGUGCUAGUCUGCUGCGUUAUCUUCUCAGUGCAGUCCUCUUAUGAAUUAUAUGAGCAUUGUGUACUGGAGCGUGCUGUCAUAUUUCUGGGUGUGACAAAAUGCAGGGGGCAAAUCAGAUUAUGAGCAUGUUAGUGGUAUGGAUUUUCUGAGUGAAGAUGAAUUUAAGGGGAAUGGUCGUGUGGAGAUGCUCAGAUUCAGGAGUAAUUCACUAGUGUGUGAAACUGCUAGUUCAGUUAAAGAGUUGACUGGAUUGAAAUCUGAGGAUGUCGGGUCUAACUCAAGAACAUUCUCAAGGAGGGAGGGGUGUCAUCGCUGUCGCAGCCCGCUUCGCGCAAAGCUCCAUCGACCACAAGUACUACAUUGACUUCAACAAUGACUACUUCCUCGACAGUUCCUUCGGUGGGAUCGCAAUCGUCCAUGACUACUACUCCCAUGUUGUUAAAGCCAUCUCUGCCUUCAGCUGCCGCUACGACUUUGAGCCAGUCAAGGACCAUCGAGUGCAAUGGGACCCGGGCGAUUUUCGGUGGCACCGGCUUGGGGUCAAGCCGGAUUUCAAGGAGGGAGGGAUGUUAGGAGCCUCCUAGCCUGUACACGUACAGGGGUUGCCCCUUGGACCAGCCCAUGGACUUGGCCCUCGGUGCAGCUACUUAAGCGUGGUGUACAGAAGGAGAGGGUAUCCAGUGGAUCACGGACGAACCGACGACGACUCUUUCCUCCUACCUUCUUUCCCCUGUUGCAAGCUUCCUUUGUUCUUCUCCUCCAUUGUGUAAUUCCUCUGUAAUCACUACUCUGUAUUGCUACUUGUGAGAGAGAUCGAUCUAUACAAGCUAGCUACCAUCACCUCUCUUACAUCUGGUAUCAGAGACCAGCCACCACUCCUUCCCUACGCGUUUCGCCAAGCUCGUCGGCAUCGGGUAGCCAUGGAUCCAUGGAUGCAGGCGUAUCUCGAGCGGAUCGACACCAUGCUCGACGCCUACACCGACGCCACCAGGUCCCUCAUCGAGAAAGUGGACGCACUGGUCGUCACCUGGCGGCCAGACCUGGAGAAGAGGUCCUCCCACACCGCCGUCGUCCACGGUCCACCAGCGCCGACCUCGGCGCUCGAGACCACUACUGAGGCGUCCGAACCUGUCUCUGGCAUCUACUACUCCACCACCAAGGCCCAGGAGAUCCCCACGGUCGCCCAUGAUGCAACUCCGAUAUGCAUUCCGAUGGUGCCUGUCACCUGUUCGACGGAUUGCUCGACCCAGGUCGACGCCAUCGACAACGCCGACGAAGUCCAUGACGCCGCCACCGUCGCAACGGAGGUACGCAACACUACAACAGCACUCGGCCCCGAGCUCGCGGUCGACCUCUGCAAGACCAUGGCGACCACCAAGGUAGCCACCUGUGGUCACUACGGCAAGCUCGACGGCCUCAACAUCCCCGUGAAGGCCAGCAUCAGCCCGCCGCACCACGUCCAGGAUGCAUUCCCAAAUUAUUCCACAAUCAGCAACUGUCGCGCCGAUGUUGCCGGGACGGAUGAGUACGAACUCGUGGAGGCCACUCCAGGCGUCGCCAUUGAGCUUGCCAUCCUCCCAGGCGUCUCCUCCUUCAUGAACAAGCUAUUCCGGAAGCAUGACAUGGACGUCUCGCCGCCCACAAGGCACAAAGGGCAGCCAAUACGGCCGACACCAUGGCCGUCAUUUCUGGUGCAUCAUAGUGCAAAGGGGAAUGAGAUUCGACCCACUCCGUGGCCAUCGUUUUCUUGCUCUCAUGAAGGUAUGACUCUGAAUCAUGAAACUCUGCUGCCUCAUGUUACAUGUGAGAUGAAGAUUACUUGCUAGAGGAUGCAGUGAUUUCACACUCGGAAAGACUGGUUUACCCAGAUUUCACGUUGAUAAUUCCGCGUAUAGUUCUAAGCAAGUUGGUGAUCUUUUGGUGCGCCGACCGCUUGUGAUACUGAAGCAUAGGGGCUGCCUAAAACCUUUGAGCAGCAACACUGAAGUACCUUGUUGGUUUGAUUACUUCAUCAGCAGAAGUCCACAAAUACCCCAAGCAAUGUGUUGCCAACUAGAAAAGGAGCUGAAACCUUCUUGGCUGCUGAAUUAUUUAUCUGUUGUCCUGAAUUCUUUCUCAACAUUCUCAGGAUAUUUGCCAAGGGUAGAGCAGGUGCCCAGUAUUUUUCUGAAUGUUGUUUGCAGGAUCCGUAUGGUGCCAAUAGAUAUUCUUAUUCCGAGCCAAUCGGUUAAUCCUAUUACCUCUCUCAUGGUUGUCCACUGUUGUGACCUGAUUCCCGUGGAGGAGCACUUCAAUUAUGUGCAAAAUACCGAGUUGCAGUUUUGCUACCCACCCUGUACUUUUGGGCAACCUAUCCUAUUUGUGUCAAUGCACUGGAACAAUUCAUGUCGGAAGGGAUUCAAAAGAAGUGGUCAUACUGCAAUCAGCUUACACAUUGGCAAUGCAUGGCGACGGUGUUCCAAUCUCCUUGAAAAUUGCAUAAGGAUCCUCCGAGGUCAAUUAUGGUGCUUGUGGUCUGUGAGACAGUGCAAUGAAGAUUGUUGUUUCACUAAGCAGCCAUUACAUGAAAGUAAACAGGCUUUCGACACUAUGUGCAUGUUCUAUUAGUACGGCUCUUGUACUACAGUAUUCCUAUCUUGCAACAAUGGAUGCACAUCUAUUUCAGAGCAUGCAGAGAAUGGGUUCCCUGAGCACAGAAAGUUCGAGCAUUAUUUUUCUUCAGUCAAUGCAACUUCAGCCAUAUGCGCUAGUCUGCUGCGUUAUCUUCUCAGUGCAGUCCUUUUAUGAAUUACUAGUAAUUUGCCCGUGUGUUGCUAUGGAAUAAAAUAGAUGUAUAUGAAUAUAUUACAAAAAAAUCAUUGCAUUUUGUGGAAUCCCUACCACAUACUCGUUGGGUUCUGUUUCUCUUAAUUUGUUUAUCUCCUCUUCCAUUCCCUCACAUUUGUUCUCUCCGGUCACCAACUCUUCCUCUAGCCCCUCCAUCACUUCCUCCAACUUUGAUGAAUCUCAUCCAUGGAUGUUUAGAGCUGAAGAAUGGUGACACAUUAAGUGACAACGUGGGUUUCACUUUUUAGAUGCCACUUUCUUUGAACCCCUAAACACAAACACAUAUUAUUUCUAGCCUCGGUUUCUUUUCCUCCCUAGCAUUUUCCACCUUAGCCUUUUAGACACCUAAUUUGUUUUGUCCCCCUUUACCACGGUGACAAUUUGAAUUCAUAUGGUUAAAAACAUAAAAAUCACAUAUGCUCUUAAAUGCAAUGGCAAAAAGUAAUCUGGUGAGCUCUCUCUAAAUCAAAAUGUCCAAGACAAAACUGGACACCGUGUACAUGUACUGUAGAUCAGUAGUGUAGUUACUUAGAACUUGGACAAUAUUCUUGAUAAUUUUUGCAACAAGAAGUUGAGGGCCACUAUGGACUAAUUCUGUAUAGUAUAUAAUGUUACAGAUAUGACUGUGAUGUUGUGAAAAUAAAGUGAAUAGUUUCAAUAGUCAACAUGCUGUAAAGUAUCCUCUUAAGUUGAGGCCCUACCGCUGCUAUGAGGCAAAUUAGUAAAUUUACACGCUUGAUUGCAAAUGGAACAACGGCACAUACUUUGUGGUGCUUAAAUAAGCUAGGGUGAUGUAGUGUCAAUUAAAGAGUGGAAGGUGAUUAUUUUCUAACAAUAUAGGAUGAAAGCACAAGACAUUUUGAGAUCCUUGGAUUCACACGGAACAUAACAAAAGUAACACACAGAUCAAUCAAAUACUAUAUCUUUAAACAAAACAAAACCAGUAAUUAGUUUUCGACCAUACAUUGUACAUUACAGCGACAAACAUUAGUUCCAAAAUGACACCCAAUUCAACAGAUAUGUAGCAGCUUAAUGAGCCAUGUUACAAUAAUCAAGAACCAAAAUAGACACUUCUUUCCAUCUAUGCAUUCUUGCUGGCAAGAGUCACAGCUCAAGUCUUCUUUCUCCUAAGUGCAUUUCUUGCUUCUUUGUCUUAGAUUGGAUCUUUCAGUACUACAGAGGAACAAUGCAAGCACAAAACAUUCGAGCAAGAAUAUCUGAAAGUGCGUCAUCUACCGUCCUUGGUUCAAAAGGUCUAGACAAAAGGCUCCAACAUCAUGCCAUACUACUAAAGCUUGCUCCUGAUCCAUGAGUGUUUUACUAAGAUCGUUGUCGAUCCUGCAAAAGUAUUUAUACUUAAAUUUGGCAUAAAUGUGUUCCUUGCAUUACCUCUGAUCCAUCUGACGCCAGCUGCAAUAGAGCAGUGCUAUCCAGACGACAUUAUUUGGACGAUUUGCAGCCGACGAUUGAAUCCAGCCGUGCAAUCUUGUUCACGGCAGAGCAACGGCCGGUGGAUUCUUUAAUCGUGCACAGAUCGUCCAAAAGUUUAUCGUGUGUGAAGCAGUUUCGGCUGCAAUAUUUGGACCAAAGUACCCCUUGCUAAAAACAGUAGUAUGCAGAUCGUGCUCUACUUGAAGACAAAACGAUGAUUAAUAUAUAUAAAUGAUGCUAUGGAUACAUGAUACAAUUAGAUUAUCUAUAACGAAUAAACCAGCACCAUCCUUACCAACUUCAUGCUUUACUCUCAGCAUGGUAACUACAACGAUGGUACACGCCUCAACACUUAUCGGCCAAGUGGUUUGAUUAUUGUCACUAACUAAUUUCUGAACUUAUCUGUAUACUAACUGUUUGAAGUAAGCACUAAAAAGUACAUGCUGCUCAUGUUCAGGGAGAUGACGUACUUUAGAGAACCCAUACAUAACAGACAAAGUUUCAAAACGUACAAGAAGUCCAAACAUCAUGGAUAAAAUUAGAAUCCAAGAUUCUUGUCUCGUGCACACAUUCAUCUACAACCACGAGCUGCAGUUCACUUAAUUAUGAAGUAUGAACUAACUCAUCAAGGACUCAGUUAAGCAUCAGCAGGAGUAAGACAGAGGAGGUGGAAAUGCGCUCGGAUGGAAGCAAAUCAGAGCAGAGCACGACGUACUGUCCACAUGUUUGUCGACAUGGUGGCAUUGCGCUCCUGAGGAUCCGGUGCAGCUCUGGAGCGAGAGCGCCGACAUGGGGUGUGACCUCCAUGCGGUCUGGUGAUGGCAGGUGGGCAGUGGGCAUGCCCGCAGGGUGUGCGGCCUCCAGACAGUCGCAAGUACGGCGAACGAGCACGCUUGAAGAGGUUGCGGCUUCCGCGAUUCAUUGACGGUGAGCUAGUAGUACUGGCAGCGGUAGUGGCCACCACGCGGCACGGGUGACAGCGAGCGAGCAGGGCAUCAGACACAGAGCGUGAUGGACAGAAAGAAAGACACAGGAAGGGAGAGGGAUGAAGAAGCUGGGAGAAUUGGGGCGGUGUACAUGACGAUCUGAAUUUUGAACUAAGAUUGGGAACACCCAUGUCAGGGGAAGGGGUAUUGGGGGAGGUUGGCGGCAUGGGGGAAGCUGGCGGCAGCAAGACACAUUAGAGGGAGGCCGUGAGCAGGGGAGGUAAGAAGGCUUGGUUGCCUGGCUGCCGGUACGUGGAGCUCGGCGAGGAGGAAGGAGAGGUCGUGUGCGGCGGGGCUCCUACAUCAGAGUCUCGUGUGAGGAAGCAGGAGAGUCCUCGCGGGACUCAAGGGGCGGAUGGCGCCGGCGGCGUAGUUGCCGAUCGUCGGAGGAGAAGGGGUAGGGUUGGAGGAGAAGGUGGUGGGCGGCGGGUCUGCUGCAUCGGAGGAGAAGGCAUGAGAGGAGUCGCAGACUCGGCGGAAGGACGGCACCAGCGGCGUACUUGCCGAUGUCGGCGUCGUAGGAGACGAGGUAGGGGGAGGAGGAGACGACGGGGAGGUGCGUGUGGCGGUGGCCGGUGAGGUUCCUAUGGCAAAGAGGAGGGACGGAGCGCCNNNNNNNNNNNNNNNNNNNNNNNNNNNNNNNNNNNNNNNNNNNNNNNNNNNNNNNNNNNNNNNNNNNNNNNNNNNNNNNNNNNNNNNNNNNNNNNNNNNNNNNNNNNNNNNNNNNNNNNNNNNNNNNNNNNNNNNNNNNNNNNNNNNNNNNNNNNNNNNNNNNNNNNNNNNNNNNNNNNNNNNNNNNNNNNNNNNNNNNNNNNNNNNNNNNNNNNNNNNNNNNNNNNNNNNNNNNNNNNNNNNNNNNNNNNNNNNNNCAAAUGUGAAGUGGGGUUGGCUCCUAUGCGUUGGAUGCAGAUCAAACGGCCCAAAAAGAUAGAUGGCAGGCACACCAUCACCAUCAACUCAGAUUUUUAUAGGAGUAGAGAUAGAGAUAUGAGCAUCGUGUACUGGAGCGUGCUGUCAUAUUUUUGGGUGUGACAAAAUGCAGGGGGCAAAUCAGAUUAUGAGCAUGUUAGUAGUAUGGAUUUUCUGAGUGAAGAUGAAUUUAAGGGGAAUGAUCGUGUGGAGAUGCUCAGAUUCAGGAGUAAUUCACUAGUGUGUGAAACUGCUAGUUCAGUUAAAGGGUUGACUGGAUUGAAAUCCGAGGAUGUCGGGUCUAACUCAAGAACAUUCUCAAGGAGGGAGGGGUGUCAUCGUUGUCGCAACCCACAUCGCGCAAAGCUCCAUCGACCACACAACGACUACUUCCUCGACAGUUCCUUCGAUGGGAUCGCAAUCGUCCAUGACUACUACUCCCAUGUUGUUAAAGCCAUCUCUGCCUUCAACUGCCGCUAUGACUUUGAGCCAGUCAAGGACCAUCGAGUGCAAUGGGACCCGGGCGGUUUUCGGUGGCGCCGGCUUGGGGUCAAGCCGGAUUUCAAGGAGGGAGGGAUGUUAGGAGCCUCUACACAUACAGGGGCUGCCCCUUGGACCAGCCCAUGGACUGCCCUCGAUGCAGCUACUUAAGCAUGGUGUACAGAAGGAGAGAGUAUCCAGUGGAUCACGAACGAACCGACGACGGCUCUUUCCUCCUACCUUCUUCCCCCUGUUGCAAGCUUCCUCUGUAAUCACUACUACCUCCGUUCGGGUUUAUUAAUCCCCAUUGUAUUUCGUGCCAAAUUUUGACCAUAGAUCAAACUAACAAAAUGUUCACGCAUGUCACCAAACAUUAUAUUUUUGAAAACUAUGUUCAAAUACGAAUCCAAUGAGAUAAUUUUUCUUGACAUGCAUUAACAUUUUGUUAGUUAAAUCUUUAGUCAAAAUUUGGCACAAACUACAAAGGGGACCUAUAAACCAGGAGGGAGGUAGUACUCUAUUGCUACUCGUGAGAGAGAUCAAUCUAUACAAGCUAGCUACCAUCACCUCUCUUACAUUGGGUUUCAAUAAUCUGCUGCACAAAAUCUGGUUUUUGAAAGCUUUAUCCUGAGGGACCCUUAAAGCCAUUGCAGCAACACAAUUCUGGCGCAUGCUGCACAAAAUCUGGUUUUGGAAGCUGAGCCCAAGGGACACUUCACACCAUUACGUCCUAACUCGAACACAGUUCUGGCUCUCAACAAGGAUCGCAGCAUCAAACAUCUCAACCAACGAGAACCUCAAACAAGGCAAAAGCAGAAAUCCAAGCCACGGACGAGGCGAAAAGCCAGACAGAAAGGGAGUUGAGUACUGGACUGAACGAUUUAUAUAUUCUUCACAAACCACAACCAAAAAAGAGUACUUGAUUAGCAACUCCAUUACAGAUACUAGAGGUUGAUGCGGAAAACAGAAGGUAACUCAUGUCCAACUAACAUGAACCAGGCGUCGUCUGGCGACACCAUCCACAUUUAUUCUUCGCAUAGACAAAGCAGGGACACCUCUGACCAGGCGCCACAAACGAAAGCAGAACGCUCUACUGAGUCUUGGCCAUGUGGCGGAUCAGGUCGACAACGCGGUUGCUGCAGAGGAAUAAGAUUCAAG
rnacentral:lncRNA from 1 species